UUUUUUUUUGUAGGUCAAAAUGACUUAUAUACCAGAAGAUGGGCACCGGAGGUGGGCCGAGGAGGCCACAACCCACCAGGGCGCGCCUGGGGGGCCUGGCGCACCUAGGUGGGUUGUGCACACCUGGUGGCCCCCUUUGGUGUUUAUUGGCUCCAGUAUUUCUUAAAUAAUCCAUAAAAAAUCUCCAUAAAGUUUCAGCUCAUUUGGAGUUGUGCAGAAUAGGUGUCCUAACGUAGCCUUUCCAGGUCCAGAUUUCCAGCUGCCAGAAUUCUCCCUCUUGGUGUGUUCCUUGCAAAUUAUGAGAGAAAAGGCAUUACAAUUACUCCAAAAAGCAUUAUUAUGGAUGAAAACAUUAUAAAUAACAGUAAGAAAACAUGAUGCAAAAUGGACGUAUCAACUCCCCCAAGCUUAUACCUCGCUUGUCCUCAAGCGAAAACCGAAAUCGAAAAACAUGUCCACAUGCUUUGAGAGAGAGGUGUCGAUAAAAACAAAAUACAGACAUAGAAGCAUCAUGUUGAUUAUUAUAACAUCAAAAAAUUAAACAUAGGACUUCUAUCAUAGAAAUUUUAUCAUAUAAUUCUCAUGAAUAAGUAAUAGUUCCUCACACAAUCAAAGUAUAAAGCAAAAACUCUAUUAGAAACCAACAAACUAUGUUCUCAGUCAACUUUGCAACUACAAUUCAUCAUCUUUUUAGGAAGGUUCACGUGUCGGAACCUUUAGGCAAGUCCACAUACUCAACCAUCAUAUAGUCUUCUAUGAUUGCUAACACUCACCUCGUACCCAUGAACAAAACAUUUCAACCGGACACAAAGAAAGAUAGGGGCUUAUAGUUUCGCCUCCCAACAUACUCACCUCAAGGGUGAUGUCAACAAUAAUAACUCAUGCUAUCUAUAUCCAACUGGACAUAUGUGCCUAGAUCAUUCCUCACCACAUGAUGCUUGCCAAAGGAGAAAAAUAAAAGGAAUAGAGAGAAAAACUUUGACUCUUUGCAUAAAAGUAAAAGAUAGGCCCUUCACAGAGGCAAGCAGAGGUUGCCAUGCGCUUAUUUGUUUGUAUGCUUAAUCCCUUAGUGCAAGAGAACAUCAUGUUGUAUCGCCCCUUAAGAUGACAACCUUUAUUAUGCAGUUUGUCGCUUUUAUUCUUUGUCAUCGAAGUUCGUACAACGCUCAUUUUCUCUUACACGAAAUGAUCUCACACUUUUAGAAGCAAUUUUUAUUGCCUUUUUGCACCGUUGACAACUUACUUGAGGGAUCUUGCUCAAUCCCUAGGUAGGUGUGGUGGACACUUGAAAAAGAUUUGGGUUUAAGGAUUUUUGGAUGCACAAGUAGUAUCUCUACUUAGUACGAAAUUUUUGGCUAGCAAAGAUAGGGGGCAAGCACCACAUGUUAAAGGAUCUAUAACAAUAUGACUUCUAUGUGAAUAUAAACAAACAUAAAUCAUUAAGUUGUCUUCCUUGUCCAACGUCAACAAUUUUGGCAUAUAAUAUUUUGAUGAGGGGUCACAAUCACAAAAGAUUUCUAGGAUAGUAUAUCUAUAUGUGAAUCUUCUCUUCCCUUAUUAAUUCUUUCAUGAGUUGUAUCAUUGACUAAUCAUGUGUUUGUCAAUCUCUAAUAAAAUUUUCUACUUAUAUUUUUCCUUAUGUGGUUCCAUCACCUACCAUAGGAUUAGUAUAUAAUCUUAUUGAUCUAUUUCCUUUCUUCAUUUAUUUCCUUCCUCUUUUUCUUUUUUUAUUUCUUUUAUUUAUUUGCAACAUGAAAGUAAAGAAAGAAAAAACUCAAACUAAAUUUAUUAUAUAACUUGCACACGAUUACAAGGAUAGAUCACUAAGCAAACUUUGAAAGAAGAAAGGAUCGAACUAAAAUUUAUUUCAUCUAAAAUCAAAUGAUCGAACUAAAAUAAGUAAAAGCAAAAGCAUAGUGGGAUGAUACAAUACCGGGGCACCUCCCCCAAGCUUGGCGGAAGCCAAGGGGAGUGCCCAUACCCGAUACUCAAUUCUCUUUUGGUGGUGAAGAAGAUGAUGGUGGUGAUGAUAACUGUGCCUUCAACUUUUUCAUAUUGUAGUUGAGGAGAGAAAUUCCCUCUUUUAAAUCAUCGACCUCCAACUCCAGCUUCAAGAUCUUGUCACAUAAAUCUCCUUUGCUUUUCUGUUGAAAACGAGAAGGAAUAGAUCUGUUAUUAGACCGGUUAGCUCUCUCAGGAAGACUGGACUUCUUGAUUUUAUGUGCAUAUCCCCAGGUUGAGGUAGAGGAACAUCCUCCUCCUCCGAGCUUGAAUCAUCGAUCCUCAUCAAGUGAGCAUCCUCCUCGUCAUCCGUAGUUCGACUACAAGGAGAUAGGUCCCCAUAGGUCCUUGGGUUAGCAAUGAUAUGUGAGACAUAGCUCUCACCGUCGAAGUCUUGGGACGACAUAUUGUCAGAUCUAUGCAGAAAACAGCAAGAAUAGAGAACAGAGGAUUUCUUUGUGAUACGGCGAUCAACAGGUUCGGGAAGUAUCUUGUAGGACAAGUAUAUGGAAGAAAAAAUGGAGUAUGGGAGGUGUCCUAGGUGGGCACAACCCACCUGGGUGCGCCAGGAAAGCCUGGCACGCCCUGGUGUCUUGUGCCCACCAGGGGACACUUCCUGGAAGUUUCUUUAUUUCCAAAAUUUUAAAAUAUUCCAAAACUAAUAAAAAAACAUUAUUGCAGAUUUUUCGGAGUCCGUUUACUUACCGUAUCACAUACCUCUUUAUUUUCAUGAUUCUAGAGUGUUCCGGAAGGACUCUUUUAUGUGUUCUUCCGGUGUCAUGGUUUGGAUAAUAUUACUUUCAACAUUGAUAGGUGUACCUGAGAUAUAAUGCAUUAUUCGUUGCCCAUUGACAACCUUCGGAGUUAUUUAUUUUGAUGUCUCCAGACCGGUAAACCUCCUCGUUGAUGUAUGGGCCUUCCCAUUUCGAGAGGAGCCUUCCUGCAAAAAAAUCUAAAACGAGAGUUGUACAAAAGAACGUAUUCUCCAACUUUCAACUCACGCUUUUGAAUUCAUUUGUCAUGCCAUCUUUUAACUUUUUCUUUGAAAUAACUUUGCAUUUUCAUAUGCUUGGGUUCUCCAUUCAUCUAAGGAGCUUAUAUCAAAUAAUCUCUUUUCACCAACAAGUUUGAAAUCAUAGUGGUGUUCUUUAACUACCCAAUAUGCUUUAUGUUCUAACUCAAGAGGCAAAUGACAAUCUUUUCCAUAAACCAUUUUAUAAGGAGACAUACACAUAGGAUUUUUAUAUGUUGUUCUAUAAGCCCAUAGUGCAUCGUCUAAUUUCUUAGACCAAUUCUUCCUGGACCUAUUGACAGUCUUUUGCAAAAUUAAUUUUUUUCUCUAUUGCUAAGUUCAACUUGACCACUAGACUGAGGAUGAUAGGGUGAUGCAAUUCUAUGGUUAGCAUCAUACUUAGCAAACAUCUUACAAAAAGCACCAUGAAUAAAAUGUGAACCACCAAUAGUCAUUAAAUAUCUAGGGACUCCAAACCUUGGGAAAAUAACUUCCUUAAGCAUUUUAAUAGAGGUGUUGUGAUCAGCACUACUGGUUGGAAUGGCUUCUACCCAUUUAGUAACAUAAUCAACAGCAACCAAAAUAUGUGUAUACCCAUUAUAGGAAGGAAAAGGUCCCAUGUAAUCAAAUCCCAAAACAUCAAAUAGUUCAACGGCAAGUGAAUAAUUCAUAGGCAUUUCUUGACGCUUACCGAUAUUACCUAUUCUUUGACAUUCAUCACAAGAAGAGACAAACUUACAGGCGUCCUUGAAGAGAGUCAGAUUGCAAUACCUUGUGAGAAGUUUUGUCUCCAGCAUGAUGCCCUCCAUAAGCCUUGGGGUGACAUUUCCGUAAGAUUUGUCCUUGUUCAUGCUCAGGUACACAACUUCUAAUAAUACUAUCUACUCCUUUAUAAAGAUGUGGGUCAUCCCAAAAGUAGUGUCUUAAAUCAUAGAAGAAUUGUUUUCUUUUGCUGGUAUGUAAAGCUAGGUGGUAAACUUUAGCAACAAUGUAAUUAGCAUAGUCAGCAUACCAAGGAGUACCACUAGCAACAUUUAUUGCAGCUAACUGCUCAUCAGGAAAACUAUCAUCAAUAGGUAGUGGGUCAUCAAGCACAUUUUCAAGCCUAGACAAAAUAUCAGCUACGGGGUUCUCAGCUCCUUUUCUAUCAAUGAUAUGUAAAUCAAAUUCUUGUAAUAAGAGAACCCAAUGAAUAAGUCUAGGUUUAGCAUCUUUCUUUUCCAUAAGAUAUUUAAUAGCAGCAUGGUAUGUGUGAACAGUUACUUUGGAAUCAACAAUAUAAGGUCUAAAUUUAUCACAAGCAAACACUACUGCUAAGAAUUCUUUUUCAGUAGUAGCAUAAUUUCUUUGAGCACUGUCUAGAGUUUUACUAGCAUAAUGAAUAACAUUUAGUUUCUUAUCAACUCUUUGUCCUAGAACAGCACCAACAGCAUAAGCACUAGCAUCACACAUAAUUUCAAAAGGCAAGUUCCAAUCAGGUGGUUGAACAAUAGGUAAAGAUAUUAAGGCUUUCUUGAGUGUUUCAAAGGCUUCUAAACAAUCAUCAUCAAAAACAAAAGGAAUAUCCUUUUGCAAAAGAUUAGUAAGAGGCCUAGAAAUUUUAGAAAAGUCUUUGAUAAAUCUCCUAUAGAAACCAGCAUGACCUAGGAAACUACGAAUACCUUUGAUGUCCUUAGGACAUGGCAUUUUCUCAAUUGUCAACCUUAGCUUGGUCCACUUCAAUACCUCUUUCAGAAAUUUUAUGACCCAAGACAAUGCCUUCAUUAACCAUAAAGUGGCACUUCUCCCAAUUCAAGACAAGAUUUGUUUGUUCACAUCUCUGCAAAACUCGCUCAAGAUUGCUUAAACAAUCAUCAAAAGACUUCCCAUAAAUAGAAAAGUCAUCCAUGAAAACCUCAAUAAUCUUUUCACAAAAGUCAGAGAAUAUAGCAUUCAUACAUCUUUAAAAGGUAGUAGGUACAUUACAUAGACCAAAAGGCAUACGUCUAUAAGCAUAAGUUCCAAAGGGACAAGUAAAAGUAGUCUUUUCUUGAUCAGGUUGAGAAACAGCUAUUUGUGAAAAGCCAUGGUAUCCAUCUAGGAAGCAAAAGUGUGUGUGCUUAGAUAAUCUUUCAAGCAUUUGAUCAAUAAAAGGAAAGGGGUGAUGAUCUUUUCUAGUUGAUUUGUUUAAUUUUCUGUAAUCAAUUACCAUUCUAUAGCCUUUAACAAUUCUUUGUGGAAUAAGUUCAUUUUUAUCAUUAGGAACAACAGUAAUACCUCCUUUCUUAGGGACACAAUGAACAGGACUUACCCAUCUACUAUCAGCUAUAUGAUAGAUUAUACCUGCUUCUAGAAGUUUUAGGAUUUCCGUUCUUGCCACUUCCUUCAUUUUUUGAUUCAACCGACGUUGGUGAUCAACAAUGGGUUUAGCAUCAGGUUCCAUAUUAAUUUUGUGCUGACAUAGAGUGGGACUAAUGCCCUUUAUAUCAUCAAGAGUAUAUCCAAUAGCAGCCUGGUGCUUCCUUAGAACUUUCAAUAAUCUUUCUUCUUCAUGUUCUUAAAGGUUAGCACUAAUAAUAACAGGAUAUAUCUUCUUUUCAUCGGGAUAAUCAUAUUUCAAAGUGUCUUGCAAUUGUUUUAAUUCAAACACAUGAUCACCUUCAGGUGGAGGAGGACCUCCCAGAGUUUCAAUAGGCAAAUUGUGUUUAAGCAAAGGACGUUGUUCAAAGAGAACCUUAUAUAUUUCAUUUAUUUCAUGCAUAUGUAAAUCAUUUUCAUGGUCUAGCAAAUAUUGUUCUAAAGGAUUAGUAGGUGGAACAGCAAUAGAAGCAAGACCAAUUAAUUCAUCCUUACUAGGCAAUUCUUUUUCAUGAUGAUUUCUACUAAACUUGGAAAAAUUAAACUCAUGAGACUCAUCACCAAAGCUAACACUAACAGUUUGUUUCUUACAAUCUAUCUUAGCAUUAACUAUAUUCAAGAAAGGUCUACCAAAGAUAAUGGGACAAAAGUCAUCUUGUGGGGAACCAAGAACAAGAAAAUUAGUAGGGUAUUUUAUUUUCCCACACAAGACUUCAACAUCUCUAACAAUCCCAAUUGGUGAUAUGGUGUCUCUAUUAGCAAGUUUAAUAGUAACAUCUAUUUCUUCUAUUUCAGCAGUUGCUAUGUCUUUCAUGAUUUCUUCAUAUAAAGUGUAAGGAAUAGCACUCACACUAGCACCCAUGUCACAUAAACCAUCAUAAUAGUGAUCUCCUAUUUUAACUGAAAUAAUAGGCAUGCCAACAACAGGUCUAUGUUUAUUUCUUUUAUCAGGUUUAGCAAUUCUAGCAGGUUCUUCACAGAAGUAAAUAACAUGCCCAUCCAUAUCUUCUUCUAAGAGAUAUUUAACCAUAGCAAUACUAUGUUCAACUUUAAUUUGUUCAUCAGGUUUAGGUGUUCUAAUAUAGCUUUUGUUAACAACAGUUGAAACUUUAGCAUGUUCCUUUAUCCUAACAGGGAAAGGUGGUUUCUCAAUAUAAGCAGAAGGAACAACUGGAUCAACACUAUAAAGUAUAGUUCCUUCUUUAACUGGUACUGGUUCUUUAAUUUCUUCUUUAAUAGGUGGGUGAUAUUUAAACCACUUCUCCUUAGGGAGUUCAACAUGAGUAGCAAAUGAUUCACAAAAGGAGGCUACUAUCUCAGAGUCAAGUCCAUAUUUAGUGCUAAACUUUUGAAAAGAAUAGGUAUACAUAAAAGAUUUAACACAAUCAUACUUAAGUUUAAUACCUGACUCUUUACCUUCGUCGAGUUCCCAAUCUUCAGAGUUGCGUUUAAUUCUUUCCAAAAGAUCCCACCGGAAUUCAAUAGUCUUAUUCAUAAAUGAACCAGCACAAGAAGUAUCAAGCAUGGUUUGAUCAUUACGAGAAAGCCGAGCAUAAAAAUUCUGGAUAAUAAUUUCUCUUGAGAGCUCAUGAUUGGGGCAUGAAUAUAACAUUGACUUAAGCCUCCCCCAAGCUAGAGCGAUACUUUCUCCUUCACGAGGCCAAAAAUUAUAUAUAUAAUUCUGAUCACAAUGAAACUAGAUGCAUGGGAUAAUUUUUUUGGUGGAACUCCAAUUCCAUGAUCCAAUAUCAUCACAUAGGCUAUGCCAUGCCAAUGCUUUUCCCUUCAAAUAGAAAGGGAAAACAUUUCUCAUAACUUCAUCUCUGGGUAAACCUACAAGCUUAAACAAUCCACAAAUUUGUUCCACAUAUAUCAAGUGCAUAUCAGGAUGUUCAGUUCCAUCUCCUGCAUAAGGAUUAGCUAGCAGUUGUUCUAUCAUACUUGAAGGAAUUUCAUAUUCAAUAUUUUCAGUAGGUGCAGUAGGUUCAGGGGUAGCUAAUUGUGGUUCCGGACAAGGCGAAGAUACCCCGAACAAACACCUCAAAGGAUUGUUUUCCAUAGUAACAAGUGACAAUAAAUUUCAGCACACUAUAUAAAUGUUUCCUUACCAAAUUCCACUUACCAAAGGUGCUUCACUCCCCGGCAAUGGCGCCAGAAAAUAGCCUUGAUGACCCACAAGUAUAGGGGAUCAAUUGUAGCUCUUUUCGAUAAGUAAGAGUGUCGAACGCAACGAGGAGCAGAAGGAAAUGACAAGUGGUUUUCAGCAAAGUGAUGUGUGCAAGUGCUGAAAUUGUAAGUAGCGAGUAGUUUGAUAGCAAGAUAAUUUGUAACGAGCAAGUAACGAUAAUAGUAACAAAAGUGCAGCAAGGUAGCCCAAUCCUUUUGAGGCAAAGGACAGGCCAAAAUAAUCUCUUAUGACAAGCAAAGCGUUCUUGAGGGUACACGAGAAUUUCAUCUAGUCACUUUCAUCAUGUUGGUUCGAUUUGUGUUCACUACUUUGAUAAUUUGAUAUGUGGGUGGACCAGUGCUUAGGUGCUGUUCUUACUUGAACAAACCUUGUACUUAUGAUUAACCCUCCCGCAAGCAUCCUCAAGUACAAGAAAAGUAUUAAGAAUAAAUUCUAACCAUAGCAUUAAACUUUUGGAUCCAAUCAGUCCCUUACGAAAUAGCGCAUAAACUGGGGUUCAAGCUUCUGUCACUCUCGCAACCACCAUCUAAUUGCUACUCCACAAUGCAUUCCCUUAGUCCCAAAUAUGGUGAAGUGUCAUGUGGUUGAUGUUCACAUGACACCACUAAGGGAAUAACAACUUACAUACUAUCAAAAUACCAGACACAUAUCAAGUUCUUGCAACAUGAUUUCUCCCGUGACCUCAAGAACAAAAGUAACUACUCACAAACGAUAAACAUGUUCAUGAUCAGAGGAGUAUUAAAUAACAUAAUGGAUCUGAACAUAUAAUCUUCCACCAAAUAAACCAUACAGUAAUCAACUACAAGAUGUAAUCAACACUACUAGUCACCCGCAAGUACCAAUCUACCAGUAACAAGAUUGAACACAAGAGAUGAACUAGGGUUUGAGAGGAGAUGGUGUUGUUGAAGAUGUUGAUGGAGAUUGCCCUCCCCAAGAUGGGAGAGUUGUUGGUGAUGAUGAUGAUGAUGAUUUCCCCCUCCGGGAGGGAAGUUCCCCGGCGGAAUCGCUCUGCUAGAGGGCAAAAGUGCUCCUGCCCAAGUUCCGCCUCGAGGCGGCGGCGCUUCGUCCAGAAAGUCCUCCUCUUAUUUUUUCUAGGUCAAAAUGACUUAUGUACAAGAAGAUGGGCACCGGAGGUGGGCCGAGGAGGCCACAACCCACCAGGGCGCGCCUGGGGGGCCUGGCGCGCCCAGGUUGGUUGUGCCCACCUGGUGGGCACUCUCUGGUGUUUAUUGGCUCCAAUAUUUCUUAAAUAAUCCAUAAAAAAUCUCCGUAAAGUUUCAGCUCAUUUGGAGUUGUGCAGAAUAGGUGGCCCGGCGUAGCUUUUCCGGGUCCAGAUUUCCAGCUGCCGGAAUUCUCCCUCUUGGUGUGUUCCUUGCAAAUUAUGAGAGAAAAGGCAUUAGAAUUACUCCAAAAAGCAUUAUUAUGUAUAAAAACAUUAUAAAUAACAAUAAGAAAAUAUGAUGCAAAAUGGACGUAUCACUCUCCCCCUCUCGUUGCUAUGCAUCUCCUAGAUAAAUCUUGCAUGAGCGUAGGAAAUUUUUGAAAUUGCAUGCUACAUUUCCCAAUAGUGGCAUCCGAGCGAGGUCUAUGCGUAGAUGAUAUGCACGAGUAGAACACGGAGUUGUGGGGGAUGAUAGUCAUACUGCUUACCACCAACAUCUUAUUUUGAUUCGGUGGUAUUGUUGGAUGAAGCGGCCCGGGCCAACCUUACAGGACCACGUUCAUGAGACCGGUUCCACCGACACACGUGCAACUUGUUUUGCAUAAAGGUGGCUGGUGGGUGUCUGUUUCUCCAACUUUAGUUGAAUCAAAUUUGACUGCGUCCGGUGCUUGUUGAAGGUUAAAACAGCAAACUUGACGAAACAUCAUUGUGGUUUUGAUGCGUAGGUAAGAACGGUUCUUACUAGAAGCCCGUAGCAGCCACGUAAAACUUGCAACAACAAAGUAGAGGAGGUCUAACUUGUUUUUGCAGGGCAUGUUCUGAUGUGAUAUGGUCAAGACAUGAUGUGAUAUACGUUAUUGUAUGAGAUGAUCAUGUUUGGUAGAAGUUAUCGGCAACUGGCAGGAGCCUUAUGGUUGUCGCUUUAUUGUAUGAAAUGCAAACUCCAUGUAAUUGCUUUACUUUAUCACUAUGCGUUAGUGAUAGUUGUAGAAGCAAUAGUUGGUGAGAUGACCAUGACACUACGAUGGAGAUCAAGGUGUCAAGCCGGUGAUGAUGGAGAUCAUGACCGUGCUUUGGAGAUGGAUAUCAAAGGCACAAGAUGAUGAUGGCCAUAUCAUGUCACAUAUUUUGAUUGCAUGUGAUGUUUAUCUUUUAUGCAUCUUAUUUUGCUUAGUACGGCGGUAGCAUUAUAAUAUGAUCCCUUAACUAAAAUUUCAAGGUAUAAGUGUUCUCCCUGAGUAUGCACCGUUGCGACAGUUCAUCGUGUUGAGACACCACGUGAUGAUCGGGUGUGAUAAGCUCUAUGUUCACAUACAACGGGUGCAAGAUAGUUUUGCACAUGCGGAAUACUCGGGUUAAACUUGACGAGCCUAGCAUGUGCAGACAUGGCCUUGGAACACUGGAGACCGAGAGGUCGAACGUGAAUCAUAUAGUAGAUAUGAUCAACAUAGAGAUGUUCACCAUUGAAAACUACUCCAUCUCACGUGAUGAUCGGACAUAGUUUAGUUGAUAUGGAUCACGUGAUCAUUUAGAUGACUCGAGGGAUGUCUAUCUAAGUGGGAGUUCUUAAGUAAUAUUAUUAACUGAACUUAAUUUAUCAUGAACUUAGUCGUGAUAGUAUUUGAAUAUCUAUGUUAUAGAUCAAUAGCUCGCAUAUAGCUCCCCUGUUUUAUUUUGAUAUGUUCCUAGAUAAAAAUAGUUGAAAGAUGAUAGUAGCAAUGAUACGGACUGGAUCCGUGAUCUGAGGAUUAUCCUCAUUGCUGCAUAGAAGAAUUAUGUCCUUGAUGCACCACUGGCUGACAGGCCUAUUGCAGGAACAGAUGCAGACGUUAUGAACGUUUGACAAGCUCGGUAUGAUGACUACUUGAUAGUUUAGUGCACCAUACUUUACGGCUUAGAACCAGGACUUCAAAAAUGUUUGGAAUGCCACGGAGCAUAUAAGAUGUUCCAAGAGUUGAAAUUGGUAUUUCAGACUCAUGCCCGUGUCGAGAGGUAUGAGACCUCUAACAAGUACUUUGCCUACAAGAUGGAGGAGAAUGGCUCAGCCAGUGAGCAUGUACUCAGAAUGUCUGGGUACUACAAUCGCUUGAAUCAAGUGGGAGUUAAUCUUCCAGAUAAGAUAGUGAUUGACAGAGUUCUCUAGUCACUAUCACCAAGUUACUAGAACUUCGUGAUGAACUAUACUAUGCAAGGGAUGGCGAAAAUGAUUCCCAAGCUCUUCGCGAUGCUAAAAUCGACGAAGGUAGAAAUCAAGAAAGAGCAUCAAAUGUUGAUGCUUAUCAAGACCACUAGUUUCAAGAAAAGGGCAAGGGAAAGAAAUGGAACUUCAAGAAGAAUGACAAACAAGUUGUCACUCCCAUGAAGAAGCCCAAAGAUGGACCUAAGCCUGAAACUAAGUGAUUAUACUGCAAAGGUAAUGCUCACUAGAAGCGGAACUGCCCCAAAUAUUUUGCGGAUAAGAAGGAUGGCAAAGUGAACAAAGGUAUAUUUGAUAUACAGAUUAUUGAUGUGUACCUUACUAGUGUUCGUAGUAGCCCAUGGGUAUUUGAUACCGGUUCAGUUGCUAAGAUUAGUAACUCGAAACAGGAGUUGCAGAAUAAACAAAGACUAGUUAAGGACGAGGUGACGAUGUGUGUUGGAAGUAAUUCCAAGGUUGAUACGAUCACCAUCGCACACUCCCUCUACCUUCGAGAUUAGUGUUGAACCUAAAUAAAAGUUAUUUGGUGUUUGCGUUGAGCAUUAAUAUGAUCAGAUCAUGUUUAUUGCAAUACAGUUAUUCAUUUAAGUUAGAGAAUAAUUGUUGUUCUGUUUAUAUGAAUAAAACCUUCUAUGGUCAUACACCCAAUGUAAAUGAAGAAUAUCGAUCGUAGUGAUACACAUAUUCAUAAUAUUGAUGCCAAAAGAUGCAAAGUUGAUAAUGAUAGUGCAACAUAUUUGUGGCACUGCCGUUUAGGUCAUAUUGGUGUAAAGCACAUGAACAAACUCCAUGCCGAUGGGCUUUUGGAAUCACUUGAUUAUGAAUCAUUUGAUGCUUGCAAACCAUGCCUCAUGGGAAAGAUGACUAAAACUCCAUUCUUCGGAACAAUGGAGCGAGCCACUAACUUAUUGGAAAUAAUACAUACCAAUGUAUGCGGUCCGAUGAGAGUUGAGGCUCGCGGCGGGUAUCGUUAUUUUCUGACCUUCACAGAUGAUUUGAGCAGAUAUGGGUAUAUCUAUUUAAUGAAACACAAGUCUGAAACAUUUGAAAUGUUCAAAGAAUUUCAAAGUGAACUGGAGAAUCUUGUAACAAGAAAAUAAAGGUUCUACGAUCUGAUCAGGGAGGCGAAUAUUUGAGUUACGAGUUUGCCCUUCAUUUAAAACAAUGUGGAAUAGUUUCAGCUCACGCCACCAGGAACACCACAACGCAAUGGUGUGUCCGAACGUUGUAACCGUACUUUAUUAGAUAUGGUGCGAUCUAUGAUGUCUCUUACCGAUUUACCGCUAUCAUUUUGGGGUUAUGCAUUAGAGAUAGCUACAUUCACAAUAAAUAGGGCACCAUCUAAAUACGUUGAGACGACACCAUUGAUAUGUCUCCAAAGUAUCUAUAAUUUUUGCUUGUUCCAUGCUAUUAUAUUAUCAACCUUGGAUGUUUGAUAUCAAUUUAUAUGCUAUUUUAUAUGAUUUUUGGGACUAACCUAUUAACCUAGAGCCCAGUGCCAGUUUCUGUUUUACCUUGUUUUAGAGUAUCACAGAAAAGGAAAAUCAAACGGAGUCCAAUUGACCUGAAACUUCACGGAACUUAUUUUUGGAAGGAAAGCAACCCGGGAGACUUGGAGUCCACGUAAGGGAAGCAACGAGGAAGCCACGAGGCAGGGGGCGCGCCCACCCCCCUGGGCGCGCCCUCCACCCUCGUGGGCCCCUCGUGGCUCCCCUGACGUACUUCUUCCGCCUAUAUAUCUCCAUAUACCCUAAAAACAUCCGGGAGCACAAUAGAUCAGGAGUUUCGCCGCCAGAAGCCUCCGUAGCCACCGAAAGCCAAUCUAGACCCGUUCCGGCACCCUGUCGGAGGGGGCAAUCCCUCUCCGGUGGCCAUCUUCAUCAUCCCGGUUCUCUCCAUGACGAGGAGGGAGUAAUUCUCCCUCGGGGCUGAGGGUAUGUACCAGUAGCUAUGUGUUUGAUCUCUCUCUCUCUCUCUCUCUCUCUCUUGUGUUCUUGAUUUGGCACGAUCAUGAUGUAUCGCGAGCUUUGCCAUUAUAGUUGGAUCUUAUGUUUCUCCUCCCCCUCUACUCUCUUGUAAUGGAUUGAGUUUCCCCUUUGAAGUUAUCUUAUCGGAUUGAGUCUUUAAAGAUUUGAGAACACUUGAUGUAUGUAUUGACGUGCGUAUCUGUGGUGACAAUAGGAUACCACGUGAUUCACUUGAUGUAUGUUUUGGUGAUCAACUUGCGGGUUCCGCCCAUGAACCUAUGCAUAGGGGUUGGCACACGUUUUCGUCGUGAUUCUUCGGUAGAAACUUUGGGGCACUCUUUGAGGUCCUAUGUGUUGGUUGAAUAGAUGAAUCUGAGAUUGUGUGAUGCAUAUCAUAUAAUCAUACCCAUGGAUACUUGAGGUGACAUUGGAGUAUCUAGGUGACAUUAGGGUUUUGGUUGAUUUGUGUCUUAAGGUAUUAUUCUAGUACGAACUCUAGGGUUGUUUGUGACACUUAUAGGAAUAGCCCAACGGAUUGAUUGGAAAGAAUAACUUUGAGGUGGUUUCGUACGCUACCAUAAUCUCUUCGUUUGUUCUCUGCUAUUAGUGACUUUGGAGUGACUCUUUGUUGCAUGUUGAGGGAUAGUUAUGUGAUCCAAUUAUGUUAGUAUUGUUGAGGGAACUUGCACUAGUGAAAGUAUGAACCCUAGGCCUUGUUUAAACACAUUGCAAUACCAUUUACGCUCACUUUUAUCAUUAGUUACAUUGCUGUUUUUAUAUUUUCAGAUUACAAAAACCUUUGUCUACCAUCCAUAUACCACUUGUAUCACCAUCUCUUCGUCGGAUUAGUGCACCUAUACAAUUUACCAUUGUAUUGGGUGUGUUGGGGACACAAGAGACUCUUUGUUAUUUGGUUGCAGGGUUGCUUGAGAGAGACCAUCUUCAUCCUACGCCUCCGACGAAUUGAUAAACCUUAGGUCAUCCACUUGAGGGAAAUUUGCUACUGUCCUACAAACCUCUGCACUUGGAGGCCCAACAACGUCUACAAGAAGAAGGUUGUGUAGUAGACAUCAACCAUAUGAACUGUGGUUUGACAAGAAACAUAAGCUGUCGUUUCUUAAAAGAUUUGGGGUUUAUAUGCUUAUGUGAAAAAGCUUCAGCCUGAUAAGCUCGAACCCAAAUCGGAGAAGUGUGUCUUCAUAGGAUACCCAAAAGAAACUGUUGGGUACACCUUCUAUCACAUAUUCGAAGGCAAGAUCUUUGUUGCUAAGAAUGGAUCCUUUCUAGAGAAGGAGUUUAUCUCGAAAGAAGUGAGUGGGAGGAAAGUAGAACUUGAUGAGGUAAUUGUACCAUCUCUCGAAUUGGAAAGUAGCUCAUCACAGAAAACCGUUCCCGUGAUGCCUACACCAACUAGAGAGGAAGCUAAUGAUAAUGAUCAUGAAACUUAGGAUCAAGUUACUACUGAACCUCGUAGGUCAACCAGAGCAUGUUCCGCACCGAAGUGGUAUGGUAAUCAUGUUCUGGAAGUCAUGUUACUAGACCAUGACAAACCUAUGAACUAUGAGGAAGCGAUGAUGAGCCCAGAUUCCGCAAAAUGGCUUGAGGCCAUGAAAUCUGAGAUAGGAUCCAUAUAUAAGAACAAAGUGUGGACUUUGGUGGUCUUGCCCGAUGAUCGGCAGGCCAUUGAGAAUAAAUGGAUCUUCAAGAGGAAGACGGACGAUGAUGGUAGUGUUACUAUCUACAAAGUUUGAAUUGUCACAAAAGGUUUUCGAAAAAUUCAAGGUGUUGACUACGAUGAGAUUUUCGCACUCGUAUCGAUGCUUAAGUCUGUCCGAAUCAUGUUAGCAAUUGCCGCAUUUUAUGAAAUCUAGCAAAUGGAUGUCAAAACUGCAUUCCUUAAAUGGAUUUAUUAAAGAAGAGUUGUAUAUGAUACAACUAGAAGGUUUUGUCAAUCCUAAAGGUGCUGACAAAGUGUGCAAGCUCCAGCGAUCCAUCUAUGGACUGGUGCAAGCAUCUCGGAGUUGGAAUAUAUGCUUUGAUGAGAUGAUCAAAGCAUAUGGUUUUAUACAGACUUUGGAAGAAGCCUGUAUUUACAAGAAAGUGGGUGGGAGCACUAUAGCCUUUCUGAUAAGUAUAUGUGAAUGAAAUAUUAUUGAUCGGAAAUGGUGUAGAAUUUUCUGGAAAGCAUAAAGGAGUGUUUGAAAGAAGUUUUUCAAAAGAAGGUCCUCAGUGAAGCUGCUUACAUAUUAGGCAUCAAUGUCUAUAGAGAUAGAUCAAGACGCUUGCUAAGACUUUCGAUGAGUACAUACCUUGAUAAUAUUUUGAAGGAGUUCAAAAUGGAUCUGUCAAAGCAGGAGUUCUUGCCUGAGUUGUAAGGUAUGAAGUUGAGUAAGACUCAAAACCCGACCACGGCAGAAAAUAGAGAGAGAAUGAAAAUCAUUCCCUAUGCCUUAGCCAUAAGUACUAUAAAGUAUGCCAUAUUGUAUACCAGACCUAUUGUGUACCUUGCCAUGAUUUUGGCAAGGGGGUACAAUAGUGAUCCAAGAGUAGAUCACUGGAUGGUGGUCAAAAUUAUCCUUAGGUACCUAAAGAGGACUAAGGAAAUAUUUCUCGGUUAUGGAGGUGAUAAAGAGUGUUCAUCGUAAAGAGUUAUGUCGAUGCAAGCUUUGACACCGACCUAGAUGACUCUGAGUCUCGAUCUGGAUACAUAUUGAAAGUGGGAGCAAUUGCUAGAGUAGCUCCAUGCAGAGCAUUGUAGACAUAGAAAUUAGUAAAAUACAUACGGAUCUGAAUGUGUUAGACCCGUUGACUAAACUUCUCUCACAAGAAAAACAUGAUCACACCUUAGUACUCUUUGGGUGUUAAUCACAUAGCAUGUGAACUAUAUUAUUGAAUCUAGUAAACCCUUUGGGUUUUGGUCACAAGGCAAUGCGAAAUGUGGGUGUUAAUCACAUAAAGAUGUGAACUAUUGGUGUUAAAUCACAUGGCGAUGUGAACUAGAUUAUUGACUCUAGUGCAAGUGGGAGACUGGAGGAAAUAUGCCCUAGAGGCAAUAAUAAAGUUAUUAUUUUAUAUUUCCUUAUAUCAUGAUAAAUGUUUAUUAUUCAUGCUAGAAUUGUAUUAACCGGAAACUUCAUACAUGUGUGGAUACAUAGACAAAACACUCUGUCCCUAGUAAGCCUCUACUAGACUAGCUCGUUAAUCAAAGAUGGUUAAGUUUCCUAACCAUAGACAUGUGUUGUCAUUUGAUGAACGGAAUCACAUCAUUAGGAGAAUGAUGUGAUGGACAAGACCCAUAUGUUAGCUUAGCAUAAUGAUCAUUAAGUUUAUAGCUAUUAUUGCUUUCUUCACGACUUAUACAUAUUCCUUUGACUGUGAGAUUGUGCAACUCCCGGAUACCGGAGGAAUACCUUGUGUGCUAUCAAACGUCACAACGUAACUAGGUGAUUAUAAAGAUUCUCUACAGGUAUCUCCGAAGGUGUUUGUUGGGUUGGCAUAGAUUGAGAUUAGGAUUUGUCACUCUGAGUAUCGGAAAGGUAACUCUGGGCCCUCUCGGUAAUGCACAUCAUAAUAAGCGUUGCAAGCAAUGUGACCAAUGAGUUAGUUGAGGGAUGAUGCAUUACGGAACGACUAAAGAGACUUGCCGGUAAUGAGAUUGAACUAGGUAUGAAGAUACCGACGAUUGAAUCUCGGGCAAGUAACAUACCUGUGACAAAGGGAAUAACGUAUGUUGUCAUUAUGGUUUGACCGAUAAAGAUCUCCGUAGAAUAUGUAGGAACUAAUAUGAGCAUCCAGGUUCCGCAAUUGGUUAUUGACUGGAGAUGUGUCUCGGUCAUGUCUACAUAGUUCUCAAACCCGUAGGGUCCGCACGCUUAAUGUUCGAUGAUAAUUUUGUCUUAUAUGAGUUAUGUGAUUUGGUGGCCGAAUGUUGUUUGGAGUCCCGGAUGAGAUCACGGACAUGACAAGGAGUCUCGAAAUGGUCGAUAGGUAAAAAUUCAUAUAUAGGACGAUAGUAUUCGGACACCGGAAGUGUUUUGGGGGUACCGGGUACGUAUCCGGUCACCGGAAGGGGUUCCGAGCAACCCCCGGCAAGCUAUAUGGGCCUAAUGGGCCAAGAGGGGAAACACACCAGCCACUAAGGGGCUGGUGCGCCCCCCCCCCCCAUAUGGGCUGGCCAAAUUGGAGAGGGAAAGGGGAAGAAGGAAAGGGGAAAAAAGGAAUAGGAUUCCCCCUUCCCCCUCUUCCCUUCCUACUCCGAAUAGGAAUAGGAAAGGGGGAGGCCGAAUUGGGAGGACCCCAAGUUUGAUUCCUCCUACUUGGGGCGCCCCCUUGGCUGCAUCUCCUCCCCUCCAACCUGUAUAUAAGUGUGGGGGGGCACCGCGAGAACACACAACAAAUAUUGUUAGUCGUGUGCGGCGCCCCCCUCCACAGUUUACGCCUCCGGUCAUAUUCACGUAGUGCUUAGGCGAAGCCCUGCGCCGAUCACUUCACUAUCACCGUCACCACGCCGUCGUGCUGAUGAAACUCUCUCUUGACACUUUGCUGGAUCAAGAGUUCGAGGGACGUCAUCGAGCUGAACAUGUCCAUAACUCGGAGGUGUCGUACAUUCGAUGCAUGAUCGGUCGGAAUGAGAAGAAGUUCGACUACAUCAACCACAUUGUCAAACGCUUUUGCUUUCGAUCUAUGAGGGUAUGUGGACACACUCUCCCCCUCUCAUUUCUAUGCAUCUCCUAGAUAAAUCUUGCGUGAGAGUAGGAAAUUUUUGAAAUUGCAUGCUACGUUUCCCAACACCCUUUAUACGAUUUGGAGAGACACGCUUGUCCAUGUAGAAUCAUCUUCACGAUUGUCCUGGAAGCUCUAUCAUCUCAAAAUAUUCUCCUUCAAAAGUUCUUCAUAAUUUUUUAUGAUGAGAUCCUGAAACAUAUACUCACAAAGAAAGAUAGCAUAAUGUGAUGUCAUUCAAAUAAGGAUAUCCCAAGAAGAGACUCCCCCAUGACACUUGCAAGUCCCUAAGUCGUCGCAUACCAAUUCCAUGAACAUAUUUUUGAAAUGUUGGAUUUGGUAGAGACUUGGUAAAUAAAUCAGCAAGGUUGUCGUGAUUUGACUUGCAGAAUGCUUAUUUCCCUGCUUUUCUGAAGAUUAUGGGGGGAAACCAUUUUAGGAUAAAUAUGAUUGGUGAUAUUACUCUUGAUGUAUCCUGUUUGCAUCUGUGCAACACAGGCCGCAUUAUCUUCAUAGAUAAUGGUAGGUGAUUCUAUCAAACCAAUUCCACAUGACUGUUGUAUGUGGUUUAUCAUUCUGCGAAGCCAUACACAUUUGCAUGUUGCUUCAAAUAAUGAAAUUAUUUCAGAAUGAUUGGUAGAAGUUGCCACCAGAGUCUGUUUCGAAGACUUCCAUGAUAUAGCAGUGCCACCAUGUAGGAACACAAAGCCGGUCUAUGAUUUGGCAUUAUGGGGAUCAGACAAAUAGCCGGCAUCUGCAUAUCCAACCAUAUCAGAUUUCUGGUUUUUCUGGAACAGGAAAAAUAGGCCAAUAUCCUUUGUGCCUUGGAGAUAUACAAAAGAUAUUCUUUACUCCAGACCAAUGACAUUUGGUGGGAGCUGCGCUAUGUCUAGCAAGUAGAUUCACUGCAGAUGCAAAAUCAGGUCUUGUGCAAUUUUCAAGAUACAUAAGCGCUCCAACGACACUGGGGUAUGGAACUUCAGGUCCCAACUCCUCUUCUCCAUCACCCCUUGGUCUGAAUAGAUCUUUCUCCACAUCUAGAGAUUGAACCACCAUGGGAGUUUUAGAUGGAUAGGAUUUUUCCAUAUUGAAUUUCUCCAAUAUUUUCUGGAUAUAGGCAUAUUGUUGUACCAUGAUUCCCGAGGGAAGGUGCUCAAGUUGAAUGCCUUAGCAAAAUUUGGUUUUACCCAAAUCCUUCAUCUCAAAUUCCAUCUUUAGGUGAUUGCGUGCUUCAUCAAUGUCUGGUGUGCUGCCGAUGAUGUUGAGAUCAUCAACAUACACAGAAAUGAUGCAAAAUCCUGUAGAGGACUUGAUGAAGACACAUGGCCAAUCAGCACUAUUGGAGUAACCUUUCUGAAGAAGGAACUCACUCAUUCGAUUGUACCACAUCCGUCCUGACUGCCUUAAGCCAUAUAAUGACUUAUUCAGCUUUACACAAUACAUGUUGCGUUUUGCAUUUUUAUUCGGGAUAGAGAUUCCAUCAGGAACCGUCUUAUAUAUGUCCGAAUCUAGUGACCCAUAAUGAUAUGUGGUCACGAUGUCCAUCAACUGCAUAGAUAGACGAUUUUGCACUGCCAAAGAUAUAAGAUGUCGGAAAGUGGUUGCACUCAUUACUGGAGAAUAUGUUUCAAUGAAAUCAAUGCCGGGUUUCUGCGUGAAACCUUGUGCUACGAGCCUUGCUUUAUAUCUCACCACCUUAUUGUUCUCAUUCCGUUUCCAGAGAAAAACCCAUUUGAAGCCCACAGGGAAAACACUGGGAGGUGUCGGUAUUGCUUCAGUGAAUACCUUUCUUUUGUUAAGUGAGGAAAUUUCUGCUUGGAUUGCAUCCUUCCAUUUAGGCCAGUCGGAACGCUUUUGGCACUCUACGAUAGACCUUGGAUCAUGAUCAGUGUGAAGGGUAUCUGCAAUAUUUUCAACAAAAUAUAUGUCGACAUUCGUAGUCUUACGGUCAAAUGAUUCUCCAGAAUCAACAUAGUUGAUGGAAAAUUCCUGCACCCCUAGUGACUCUUCGUGAUUUCCCAAUAUGAUCGAUUCUGGGUGUUCCGAUGUCCCAAUCAGUUUGUGCACACUGGAACUGAGUUCUGGAGGUUGCCCUUCCACUGGAUGUAUACUACCCAUCAGGUGUUUGUCAACGUUGAGUUGACCUUCAUUUACUGACUCCGAGGUUUUUCUCCUCGAUUUCCUUUGCUACUUGCGAGAAGCAUGCUCCAGGUCAGAGGUCGUACUACUCCCCUCUUUUUAGGAAUAGGGAUUUGAGUGGUUUUUACUGGUACCUCCACUCUUUCUGGUGCGUUUCUGGCCAGAUUUAUGGAUUUUGUAACACCUUUUAGAUCAGUAAAUGAAUCUGGCAGAUUAUUUGCAAGAUGUUGCAAAUUAAUGAGCUUCUGAACUUGAAGUUUGGUCUCUUGGGUACGUGGAUCAGAGGAUGAAAUGGCAUGAGCAUUCCAAUCAAUUUUCGGGCAUUCUUUCUGGUACUUGAAAUCUCCCCCUAAUGCCAGAAAAUGUUCCUCAUUAAAUAUGCAAUCAGUGUGACGGGCUGUGAACAGAUCCUUGGUUAGGGGUUCCAGGUACUUGAUAAUCGACGGUGAUUUGUACCCCACAUAGAUCCCCAACUUCCUGUGUGGGCCCAUAGAUGUCCGUUCUGGUGGUGAGAUUGGGAUGUAUGCAGCACAUCCGAACUUAGGCAGAUGGGAAAUGCUUGGAGGAUUUCCACGUACCAAUUCCAGAGGGGAGGAACAGUGAUAUGCAGUUGGCCUCAAUUAUAUCAAGUCAACAGCGUGUAAAACAACAUGACCCCAAAAAGAGGUUGGCAAGUUGCAAUUCGUCAACAAAGGUCUUGCAAUGAGUUUGAUCCUCUUGAUCAAUGCUUUAGCCAAACCAUUUUGUGUAUGGACAUAUGGAACAGAGUGUUGAACUUCAAUCCCCAAAGCCAUGCGAUAAUCAUUGAAAGCACGUGAGGAGAAUUCUGCAGCAUUGUCCAUUCAAAUUGACUUAAUUCGACUUUCAGGAUAAUGGGCUUGCAACUUAAUGACUUGCCUCAUUAUCUUGGCAAAUGCAUGGUUCCAUGUGGAUAGAAGACACCCAUGUGACCAUCGUGUAGAUGCGUCAAUGAGAACCAUGAAAUACCUAAAAGGUCCAGAUAAUGGCUGAAUGGGACCACAAUUGUCUCCUUAAAUAUGUUCAAGGAACUAAAGUGGUUCAGCUUGUAUUUUGAGGUGCGAGGGCCUCAAAUUAGCUUUCCCAUGGCACAAGAUAUGCACACAAAAUCAGAAGGUUGAGGAAAUUUUGACUCAAGCAAAUUAUGACUAAUGGAAUUGCUAGUAAUUUUUCUCAUCAUCCCAAUUCUGGGAUGGCCUAGGCGAUCAUGCCAGGUUUGGAAUGCGUCAACAUUCUGAAAAAUUACUUUGUAUGCAACAUGUUGCACGGGUUUGAUGUACGUAUAGUACAAACCAGACAAUAGAGAAGGAAUUUUCUCAUGUACCUUUUUGCCAUAUAUGUGAUCGUUAGUAAAGAGUAGCUACUCCUCUUUGUUGUCUUCAUGGGUUUCAAUGUGAAAACCAUUCUUACGGAUAUCUCGAUAACUGAUCAGGGUACAUGAUGAGUCGGGAUACAAUAAAGCAUCCUCAAAUCGUCACUUGUGUACCGCUUGGGAGGGUGAAUAUGGCACGUCCAGUACCAACAAUCACUGUAUCGCGUCCAACGAUAGUUAGAAUAUCUCCAUUCAUCUUUUCCAGAGUUUGGAAAUAUUUCAUCUCCCUCAGUAUGGAGUUUGUGGUACCACUGCCCACAAGGCAUAAUUCCUCUUGCAUCGGAUUGUCCUCGUAGAAAACCAUAUAAAACAAAGAAUUUUCAAUAGGAAAACCUCAUAGUAAUAUAUAGGAUGCAAUCUUUAUUAUAUCAAAUGUGCUGAUACAAUACAAUAUAAAGAAAAAAACAAACUUAUGUUCUUAUUACAAUCAUCACAAAUGGACAUAAUUAAGUAGAUCACUAAGGAGAUUGAGGGACUAGUCGAAGUCACCAAACACAUUGUUUGCGGUGUACUCAAUCAACAUGUUCUCCGUUUCAGCAGGAUCCUCGGGUGGAUAAGGAACCAUGGUGUUGCUCGGUCCAGGAGGAACAUCGUGUGAACCACCAGUUUCUUUUGUGCUAUUCGGAUGAAGGUUGAAGUUGGCUUCAAACCUUUUUCCCUUGAGGUGCUUUGUGUCCCUGAGAUUGCUAGUACAGCAUAACCAGAUGCUUGGGCAUCGUGCACUUUUCAGUAGAAUGUGUGUAGCAUCCACACUUGUUGCAAAGCUUAGAUUUAUCAAACUUGGGCUUUGAAGUGCUGUUUCCCUUGCUUGUGUUUCUGGAUCUCCUGUUCCCAUUGCGCUUUCGCUUAUGCUCAAAAUUGGACUGUUUUACCCAAGAGGUAUCACUAAACUUUUGUCUGUUUGCAACAUUCAGAUGGACUUUAGGUAAAGGUUGUGCCCCAACUGGGUGUUCAGAGCCAUUCUUAGCAAGUAGCUAAUCAUGCUUUUCAGCCUGAAGUAACAUGUGAAUAAGCUCGAGAUAGACAGUGUAGUUACAAGCAUGGUAUUGCUGUUGGAGGAUCCUAUCUGAAGGGAGCAUAGUGGAUAAAUUUUUCUCUAUCUUCUCCCCCUCAGUAGGUUCCUUCUCAGAAAAGCGCAGUUUGGAACAUAUCUUAUGAACAUCAUGAUUGUACUCACCGACGGACUUGAAAUCCUGAAGAAGAAGAUGAGUCCAAUCAUGGAGCGCUUCUGGCAGGGCAACUUCCUUAUGCUGUCCAUACCUCAUUUUGAGGGCUAGAAAAGGAGUACUAUGAGAUUCCUCCUGUAAAUACUCAGACUUGAGAUCUGGAUGAAUAUGGUGUCUUAUGAUGAAUAAAGCAGCAUAGUUCUGUUGUUCUAUCAGCGGCGUGGCCCCAGCCGGGAGAGGAGUCUUCGGGGGUUGUAUUGCACGCACUAUCCCACGGGGCGCAAGACUGAUCUUGAUGUCCAUAGCCCAUGUAGGGUAGUUGUGGCCAUUGAGGACAAGCUCCUCAAACUCUUUGGCAGUCAUCUUUGCCUACAUGGGAAAUCAGAGAUAAUUAAUUUACAUGUGGUAAAUUAAAAACCAUCAUGGUCCUGUAAUAAGAAUGCAAAAAUUUGAUGCUCAAGUGAAAAACUUGAAAAAAAUAUCAACCUCAAUUGUGUGAACAUAACACAUUGAAGAUCACUUAGAUCUCACAAUAAUAGGCUACAUCGCCAUUACCUUGUGUAUCCUACAAUUCAGAUAUAAGGAAUACACAUUGGAGGUAAUCGCUUGUCGAGAAUGACAUAGCGUAGACCUCACAGUAAGAGGGGAUAAUCUACAAAUGAGCAGUAGGUCCCAACUCAUUACCUUGUGAUUCCAAAUAUAAUGAGGGAGAAAUUCAAAAAUUUGCAAGUUUGGUGUGCGAGAGAAGAUGAUCUCGAUCGCUAAAACAUGUUCAAGAGAACUUGAUAUGUGGUAAACACAUCGAACAUGUCAUUCUUCCCAGAUGAAAUCCGGUACUUUAUUUAUAUUAUCAAUCCAUUACAUAAUAUAAACACACUAAUAAUUACACAAGUCCUAGUCAGAUGUAAUCUAGAACUGGACUAGAAUGUAAGUAGCAGUCAAACUAGGUACUAAACAGUACUAAAUAGAGUCUAAAACUGCACAAAUACAAUAAUUAAUAAUAUUGUUAAUAAAACAGAGAGAAAAAGAAGAAGAAAAUAUGAAUCUAGCCCAGAAGGAGGCGGCUGGAGGACACAUCAGGCGCCUGGGCCUGGGCCUCCAUGGCCUUUGGCCAGCCCACCCGCAGCCCCACUGCAUAAGAAGGAGGAAGCGGCGGUUACAGAUAAGGGCCUGAGAGCCGAAGCCCGCACUACCCGCUCGAUCCCCUUCCCUGCACGGCGCCGGCGACUGGAGUGGCCGCCACAGCCCCUCGCGGCGCCGGAGGUCACCACCGCAGCACCGACGAGCCUUCCUCGUCCAAAGAAGACGCGAUGAUGAUGGGGUCCGGGCGAGCACCCUCUGGUGCGGCGCUGGCGAGGUCGAGGCUCGCCGGAGCCCACGAACCAAGGCGACGGCGACGCGCCCGAAGAGACGCCCGAAGCAUCGUGUCGUGCGGCUGCUCGAGCCCGCUGCCGUCUCCUACUGAAGCGGGCGUUGGCGUUGACACCCUCCAUGCCGGCUCCAAGACGGACGACGUCGGAGGCGCCGGUUGGCGGAGAGACGAAGGCAAGCGCCUCCUCCUCAUUCACCACGGAGCGCAACGGCACCAGGGCAUAGCCAUGCGGGCGGCAGGCCGGCAGCUUGGGCCAGCGGCCACAGCAUCCGGCGUCGGCGUCAACGGCGGGAGCCACCCUGCUGAUGGAGGAGGGGGUGGAGGCGGAGACCCAGGGGGUGCGGCGCCGUGGACCAUAGGGGCGCUCGGACCGGCCCCAAGCCAUGGGUUAAGCCCCCUGUUCACUGACGACGCACGCGCGGCAGCGCCGAGGCCGUGCCCGUGGGCUUGGCGGGCACCAGGAGCGGCGCGUCCGUCGACGCCGUGGCCACGCCCAGCGACACGGUGACCACCACGGGUGCCACGUCCAGUGGCGCGGUGACCACAACGGCCAAUGGCGCAACGGCCGAAACGAAGGACGGACUGCAUCCUGCGACGGAAGCGUCGGAGGUCACCAAUGCCAUGGUAGCGACGACGGUAGCGACGAUCGUCCUCACGGAUCAGGCGGAGAAAGAAGGAAACAAGGCCAGGCAUCUCACCGGCGGCGAGUGCUCCCUCUCUUCUCCUUUCUCUGUUGCCUUUUUCGCUUCCGCUGGCUGUUCUACGUGCGUGAUAACGUGUUUGAGAUCGAAAGUGAAAUUUCUGUUUUUGUCGAUGGUUACACGAGCCCUUUAUAUGAUCUGAAGAGACACGACGAUCCUUCGAUGGGGCGUCGGAUCCAGGAGAUCGAAGGAAGGCGUCGGUUGCGGGACAAACCGCAACGACGGUUUGGGCAAGGGGAGAUUUUCCCUAAUUACAUAAUUAAUUUUAACACCAAAACACCAAGGCACGUAUCAGUGACCGGCGUGGGUUUGAAGACAGCCUCGUCAGCGCUAGAUUACGGAAUGGUGCUCAGGUCGUUGCCCGUGCGGGCCGGCCCGAUAAAUCGCUCGCUCGUUCCCUUGCCUAAAAAAAUGCUCGCUUGCUCGCUGCCCAUUCACCUACGUAUGUGUGGGUUAAAAAACAUUUUGUUGUGUGGUGGUCUGUUGUCUUAGAAAAAGGCACAUUUUUUGAUUAAUUUGAAAAAACUUGGUGAAACCAUAAAAUGUUCAUGGGUUUUACAAAAUGUUCAUGAAUUUGGUAAACUAUACCAAGGAUUUAAAAUAAGUUCCAUGAAUUUGAAAAAAAAUUAUGGACUCGAAAUAAAGUCCAUGGUUUUGAGAAAUGUUUGUAAAUUUGAAAAGGUUAAUGGAUUUACAUAAAAUUCUGAAAUUUGAAAAAACUUCAUAGAUUUUGGAAACGUUCAUGAAUUUUUAAACAGUUCAUGAAUUUUGUGAAUUCAAAAAAUGUUCAUAGAUUUUUUUUAAAGUUGUGGAUUCGAAAAAAAUGCAUAUUUGAAAAAAAGUUCAUGGAUUUGAAUUUUGGUAGAUGUGAUUUUUUUGCGGAUUUUCAAAAUGUUUGCAAUUUUUUAGAAAAGUUAGCAAAUUUUAAAAAUGUUCGCGAAAAUGAAAACAGCUCACUAUUUUAAAAUGAGAAAAGAAAAAAAGAGAACUAAAAAAUGAACAAGAAAAAGGGAAAAAAGAAAAAAAAGGAAACCCAAAAAGAAAGGAAAAAGAACACAGAAAUGAAACCCGAACAAAAAAACAAGUGAAAAAAACCCUGCAAAAAAGGCCCAAAAAACAGGUGGGAAGAGAGAUAUUGGGCCCUAGCCCACUUAGAGUUAAUGCAACAUGGUUUUUUUUUUCGCGCGGUGUAUCAUUUUGCAUUCUAGCGUACGUUUGUGUCCAAAGCUAAUCUGGAUCGAUGUUAGUAGUGGCCGUGCAAAUUGACGCCCGUCAAGUGAGUGGCCAUAUUACCAGUGAGUCAGUGACAAUUGUAAUCAUAUAGGAGUAGUAUCGAAGCUGGUGUCCAAGAAGGCACCAGUAUAUACUAAAGUUUUUUCCCCUCUCGCUAGGGUUCUCUCCUCUCGGUGCCAGCCGCCGUUGAGAAUACUACCGCCGCCGAUCCCCCUCUCCCGCCCCGACGCUCGGGCCGAUCUCGUGGCUCCCCCCCGCGAUCGAUCCCGGCCUUGGUUAGGGUGGAGAGGAACCGUCCCUGUGCCGUCUCGUCCUUCGGGUUUCCCUGGGGUUACGAUGGCGACGCCGUCUUCAUCACGCACGCAGGAGGAGAAGGAACUUGAGGAGAUGAUGGCUGAACUUGGGAUUGCUGAGGAGGAUUUGGAUGGUCUAGUUUUUGAAGAUGUGAUGUCGGAUGCUGCAGCCAACCCCCGCUGGCUCGCGAUUGGCAAAGUGCACACGUCCAAGGAGUAUGGCGACUACUGGUUCUACAAGAACAUGAGGAGUGCGUGGGAUUUAGCGCAAACAGUAAAGUUCAGAUCCUUGGGCGACAAUCUAUACACUAUGCAAUUUUCUUGUUUGGGAGAUUGGAUCAAGGUGAUGGAGGGUGGUCCGUGGGCCUUUAGAGGGCAGCCGGUGGUGCUUGCGGUCUAUGAUGGAUUCACAAAACCAUCCAUGAUUGAUUUGAACUGCUUUAAAAUAUGGAUUCAGAUACAUGAUCUGCCAGAUGGAUAUGGACCCUUGGUUAAACCUUUGGCUGCGAAGGUGGGGGCUCUAUGUGACGAUGAAGAUGACCCUGGUGACUUUGCUGGUAAUUUCUAUAGGGCCAGGGUUACCUUGGAUGUGAGAAAGCCUCUAAAAAACCAUGUUUCAAUUGUGAAAAAGAUGAAAAGGCAGAUUUUCAAGGUUAAGUAUGAGCGCCUUCCGGAUUGGUGUGCCGUUUGUGGGAUGAUUGGUCACUUAUAUACUGAGCAUGGGGAUGGUGUUCAUGACCAAAAAGCUUUGGUUUUCAAAGAACUGAGAGCAGGCUGGAGUAUGAGGGGAGGAGGUAGAGGAGGGGGCCAAACCCAGGAAUCUACUGAACACCCAGAAAAAUCAACAGCUCCAAAUGCUGCUAUGGACCUAGAUAAAGGGGCUGUGAUUGAGACACAGGAGGGGGAACAGAACAGAAAAAGGGGUGUUGCAAAUCCCUCGGAACAAGCUCCUCUGAAAAAUGAUCUGUUGUUACCAGGGCCGGGGGCUGUUCCUGCAAGUCCGCCGCCCAAGCAAGACUUGAAGAGAACCAAGUCUGAUAAUGCAUAUAAGAUCGUGGCCGGUUCUAAUGCUCAGAAGAAUGCUUCAUCUUUGGCGGGCUCCAUCGAGGAGCACCGCCGGAAUUAAUGGAUCUCAUGAGCUGGAACUGCCGGGGAGGGGGGAAUUCCCGGACAGUUCGUGAGCUAGCGACGCUAGUGCAGUCGCAUUCCCCCAGGAUGGUGUUUCUGUGCGAGACAAGACAAAAAGAAGAUAAAAUGAGAAGAUUGAGAGGCCGGCUGGGCCUCAAAGGAUUUACUAGUGUGGAUAGCAACGGCCUGAGCGGGGGCCUUGCCCUUUUUUGGCACGAAAGUCUGAUAAUAGAUAUUCUGGACAAGGAUGAUCGCUAUAUUGAUGUGGCAGUUCGGUUACAUGCUGACGCCGAACAGUGGAGAGUAACGUUUGUGUACGGGGAGCCGCGUGUUGAGAAUCGUCUCCUAAUGUGGCAGAAACUUCAAUCCCUGUUCAACACCUCGGACCUUCCUUGGUUGGUUAUUGGAGAUUUCAAUGAGUGUCUUUGGGAAUUUGAACACCUCUCAGCAACACCAAGAGCUGAAUCACAAAUGUUGGCCUUUCGUGAUGUGCUUGAGGUAUGUCAACUAGUGGAUAUUGGUUUCUCAGGUGUACCGUUUACUUAUGAUAAUAGGAGAAGCGGGACUGCAAACGUGCGUGUACGUUUGGAUCGUGUUGUCGCCUCUAGUGCUUGGCGCAAUAUGUUCGCUUUCUCCUCAGUGGCCCAUGUGGUGUCUCCCUGUUCGGAUCAUGUGGUUCUUAUUCUUAAGGGGACCCCGGACCCUGGGCCGAGCGCAGGAAGACGACGCCAGUAUGAAAUCUUUUGGGAGCGAAGUGGUGAGCUUCCCGAGUUGGUGCAGCAAGCAUGGGAGUCGGUGGGAGCAAUUGGGAACCUUGAACAGUUGCAGUCAGCCCUGAAGAAGACCAUGUAUACUUUGGGCAUAUGGAGUAGGAAAAAGUUUGGUAACAUAACCCGCGAGCUAGCCAAGUCCAGGUCACAACUUGAGGAAUUGAUGAAUAUGAAUGCCGAUUGUCAGGAUAUACGGCGAGUAACCGACAGAAUGAACGAGUUAUUAUAUCAGGAAGAGAUGCUAUGGCUCCAGAGGUCGAGAAUAAAUUGGCUGAAAGAGGGAGACAGAAACACGAAAUACUUUCAGAGCAAAGCGGUUUGGAGAGCUAGAAAAAAUAAAAUUCGUGAACUCGUGGACGAUAAUGGUGUUGCACAUUCUGAUGAGGCGACAAUGAGACAAAUGGCUAAUGAGUACUUCCAAGGAAUGUACACGGCUGAUCCGAACCUCAUCCACACUCCGGUUCUAAGUCUGUUUGAUGCAUUGAUAACUGAUGAUGAUAAUGCUAAGCUAUGUGCUCCUUUCAGUGAUGACGAAAUUUCGGAUGCCCUGUUUCAGAUCGAUCCGUUGAAGGCCCCGGGCCCGGAUGGUUUUCCAGCACGCUUUUUUCAGCGUAACUGGAUUACGCUACGGGACAGCGUAAUCACGUCAGUUAAGGAGUUUUUCAACUCGGGUGUGAUGCCGGAAGGGGUUAACUCAACCUCAAUCGUGCUUAUCCCAAAAGUCCCUAAUCCUUCGAAGUUGACUGAUUUCAGGCCUAUUAGUUUAUGUAAUGUAACCUAUAAGGUCAUAUCAAAGUGUUUGGUGAAUCGGCUGAGGCCAAUUUUGGAUGAUAUUAUCUCGCCGGAGCAGAGUGCUUUUAUACCCGGAAGAAUGAUCACGGAUAAUGCACUCAUUGCUUUCGAGUGCAUCCACCAUAUAAAGCAAGAAAAAGACCCUACCAGAAGUUUUUGUGCAUAUAAGCUCGACUUAUCAAAGGCAUAUGAUAGAGUUGAUUGGGUUUUCUUGAAGCAAAUGAUGCAGAAAUUGGGUUUCUCUCACCAGUGGGUGGACUGGAUUAUGACAUGUGUCACUUCGGUGAGGUAUUCGGUAAAACUUAAUGGAACCCAUCUAGAUUCGUUUGCACCGUCGCGUGGGCUACGGCAAGGUGACCCUCUAUCACCCUUCUUAUUCCUUUUCGUUGCUGACGGAUUAUCAGCCAUUCUGAAGCAGGAAGUUAAUAUUGGAAGUAUUAAUCCUAUAAGAGUCUGUAGAAGGGCGCCGGGGAUAUCGCAUCUUUUAUUCGCAGAUGACUCUUUGCUGUUUUUUGAGGCAACACAGGAUCAAGCUCUGAAAGUCAAGGAGAUUUUGGACCUGUAUGCUAGUGCUACUGGCCAGAGUAUUAAUCUGAACAAGUGCUCCAUACUAUUCGGUCCAGCAUGUUCAGAAGUUGCCCAGAAUGCUAUCCGUACUAUUCUGGAAGUUACUAAGGCAGAAUUUGAAGAAAAAUACUUGGGUCUCCCUACACCUGAAGGUCGCAUGUCUAAGGGACGGUUUCAAAACUUGCAAGCUUGUCUCAUUAAGAGGCUUAUACAGUGGGGAGAUGGGGGGCUGGCGCAGUCGGGCCGCAAAGUUCUCAUCAAAUCAGUUGCACAAUCUCUCCUGACAUACAUUAUGGGUGUUUUUAAGCUCCCGUUCUCAGUUUGUGAUGACCUAACAAGGAUGGUAAGAAACUUUUAUUGGGGCUCUAAAGAAGGUCGCAGAAAAGUACAUUGGAAGUCUUGGGAUUCUUUGUUGCAGCCAAAGUGUAAAGGAGGGCUUGGAUUUCGCGAUUACAGAAUGUUCAACCAAGCUCUCCUCGCACGCCAAGCUUGGAGACUGAUUGAUAGGCCGGAAAGCCUUUGUGCUCGACUGUUAAAAUCCCGGUAUUACCCGGAUGGCCAGCUUGAGGAUACGGUCUUUUCUGGUAAUGCCUCCCCAUCUUGGCAAAGCUAUAAGCUAUGGACUUGAGCUCCUGAAAAAAGGCAUAGUCUGGAGAGUGGGCAAUGGAUCAAGCAUUCGUGUUUGGAGAGACAAUUGGAUACCGAGACCCCAUUCCUUCAAACCGGUCACCCCUAGAGGUAACUGCCGCAUCCGUUAUGUGUCCGAGCUGCUUACUAACAAUGGGUCGUGGAAUAUGAACUUGCUGCAGAAUUAUUUUUGGCCUUGUGAUGUGAAUGAAAUCAUUAAAAUCAGAGCGUCUCCAAGGCUUGAAGAGGAUACAAUUGCAUGGGGACCAGGGAGAUUUGGACAAUUCUCGGUGAAGUCGGCGUAUGAGUUUGCUUUUGAGGAAGCCAACAGAGAAUCUCAACCUGCGUCUAGCACUAAUCCAGAGGGUUGCCGGGCCAUCUGGAACCUGAUAUGGAAAACGGAUGUUCCUCCAACAGUCAAAAACUUUGCUUGGAGAGUGGUCUCAGAUUCCCUUCCUACUUGGGUUAACAAGCAUAAGAGGACCUUAGAAAUCACCAGCAUAUGUCCGGUGUGUGGCGUGGACCGGAAGACAACUUCCAUCCUCUAUGUCGCUGCCCUAGAGCAAGAGAAUUAUGGUGCUAUAUGUCAGAGGUUUGGAACCUCCCAUCGGUGGAUACCAUUCAGAAUGUUGGGAAGGAAUGGCUGUUCCAAGUGCUACAGCCACUUCAUGAAUUAGAGAGGUCCAUGCUUCUUAUGACUCUCUGGAGAUGUUGGUUCAUUCGUAAUGAGAUAGUGCACAAUAAGAUUCCGCCUCCCCUUGAGGUAUCGAGGAGGUUCCUUGUCAGCUAUCUGGAGUCACUAAUUGCUAUCAAAAUGAACAUGCAUAUGGAUCCAGCCAAGGGGAAGUCAAUUAUCUCCUUUGAUCGCACGUUAACCCAUGCUGAUGCGCCCGUACCGGCCGCCCUGAAGUGGGUUGCACCACCGGAAGGGUGGGUAAAGCUAAACACGGACGGCUCUUUUCAUGAUGGUAGGGCAGGUGCAGGUAUGGUAUUACGGGAUCCUUCGGGGGAUGUAAUCUUUUCAGCUUGCAGAACACUUUACUCGUGUCGUGAAGCUUUGGAGGCAGAGCUGGGUGCUUGCAUGGAAGGUCUUUCUCUAGCGAUCCAGAGAAGUGAUCGUCCAGUGACCAUUGAGUUGGAUUCACUUGUUGCUAUAAAGCUAAUUCAAGGACAGGAGACAGAUAGGUCUAUUUAUGCUUCUUUAGUAAAAGAGAUUAGAUAUCUUUUAUCCCUUCGUGAAUGUUGUAUUACUCAUGUAAACCGGUCUCAAAAUCAGGUUAGCGAUAGUCUAGCAAAUUUUGCUCGUACCGAGGGAAGAACCAUGACUUGGAUUGGCUCUGGUCCCCCGAUAGUGCUUGAGCUAGUCGCCGCUGAUUGUAACUCUUUGUUGGCUUGAGUAAUACAAUAUUUCUACCCGCAAAAAAAAAGUGACAAUUGUAAUCAGUUUCCAGUAGUGGCUGCGCACAACAUAGGGUAAGUGUCCAUGGGCUAAGGCUGGUGAUAGUGAGGUCUAACUUAGACUAGUAAGAUACAUAUCUUACUAAUCCAUGUUACUACCUUUAUAAUGAAAAUUGUCAUAGGUGUAGUAACAUACAUGUCUUUAUUUAUUACUCCCUCCGGUCCUUUUUACUCUGCAUAUUAGGUUUGACUGAAGUCAAUCUCAUCCAACUUUGACCAAGUUUAUACAAAAAAUUAUAGACAUUCACAUAACAACACCAAUAUCAUUCGAUUCAUCUUGGAAUAUAUUUUCAUAUUAUAUUUAUUACAUAUUAUAGAUGCUAAUAAUUUCUAAUAUAAAUUUGGUCAAAAUUAGCAAAGUUUGACUUUCAAAAAAUCCAAUGUGCAGAGUAAAAAGGACCGGAGUGAGUACUUUGUAGACUCAUUUUGUAUUGGGAACCGCUAUGUGAUGGUAACAUAUUAUGUUACUUUAUUUGUCUCUUUCCUCUUUAAUUACAUGACACAUUAUUUUUUUUUCUUAUGUGGCAUCUAUGUUACUGCUUAUAUUACUUCCAUUAUGACUAGUCUAAGCGGCACAACUCACAUGAUGUGUGUUAGAAUUAAACACAUGUUUAAUUAGAAGGGAAUCUCCCCUUGUUAACUGCUGUACGGUUUCCUGAUGGCAACCGACGCAGCCUUUUUCUUGGCGUCCUUUGCCCCGACGCUCUCGCGUCCCUUUAUAUCAUCGCGUCCCUACGGGAUGUCUAUAUUGUAAAAUCAUAUGUUGCCACGCCGCGCCCGUCCGCGCCACCGGACUCGCGCCCUCCGCGCCGCGCCCCAGACCACGGCCUCUACGCUGCGACGCGCCCCGCCACCCGGCCGCCCGGCUGCGCUCCCUCCUGCCCAUGGCCGCUGCCCGGCCGCGCCGCGCUCCCGCGCUCUGCCGCGCCCUCGCAUGCGCCGAGCCCGCGCCACCUGUGCCGCCCGCGGAGACCGCACAGCCGGACUCCUCGCGUCUUCCAUCUCCGACGCCAGCGCACAAGGCAGUGGCCGCUGGGGCUUCUCCGUCGAGCGCUCGCCCCGGGCUGCGCCUCCCCGCGCGGGCUGCUGCGCUUGGGGACGUCUUCGACCACGGAGCAACCGGCUCCAUUGGCCCGUCGUCACCCCGCCGCUGGCACAUCGUGUCACGCGCCCCGCUGCAGCGCAGCCGCGCGUGAAUCUCAGGCUGGCCAAUGGCCACUCCAAUGGAGUCGCGCCUGGGACACACCUUCCUGGAGGAUCUUCGGAGGAGGAGGAUGAUGCGUUGGGGCCUUCAACUUCGCGCCCGUGAGCCAGCCGCCGGUGGCGGAGGUUGGUGGUGGUGGUGCCGACAGCCGCCGCUUGAGAUGGAUGAGGACGACUAGUCGAUGGGAACCAGAAACAUCCCGUCGCCUCCUUAUCCGGGCGUGCCUAUGGACUGGUGGUCUGGUGGAGAGCCAUCACGCUAGGCUAGUUGGCUAGUGGGCUCUAGCCCAUGCUGUACGAGCAGGGGAUGUCUUUCCUUGUCUCCCUCCUUAUCAUUUUGAUUGACCAGACUGCCUGACGUGGGCAUAUGUGCAUGCGGCUGGGAAUUUAGGCAACCGCUGCUUCUUUGUUUUGCUUAUUUGCAUCUUUGUUUUAGCAGAUUAGCAAUUAAUCUCCCAACAGCACUUCCAGCAGUAAUUUAUUUCUGUUUUAGACACUGCUAAUUACAGUACUUAAAUUUCAGUACUGUAAAUAUGUUGAGUACUAUGUAUUCCAUAUAAUAUGUUGAUGUAAUAUAUCUUCAUGUUUCUUACACGUUGAGAAUAAUUACAUUUAUUAUUUGCAAUUGAGAUAUUUUUUUUCUAUUAUCUCUUGCAAAGAUAAAUUCAGUACCUAUACAGUACUGAUUUGCGGUUGAGAAUUUUGUUCUCUCGCAAAACAAUCUCAUUGCGAUUGCUAUUACUUUUCUCUCGCAAAAUUAUUAAUUCAUCUCGCUGAAUUAUCUUGCAACUUGAUACAAGAUCAUCACAUUUUAAUUUGAGGUCUAUACAAUUCAAGUUUUUCACUUGAACAUCAAGUUUGCAACAGCACUAUUAUUCACUACAUUAGUAGUAUUUUUCUGUUGAGUACCGAGAUGUAUUCCAGAUCUUAAGUUGAUGUAAUACAUUUCCACGUUUAUCACGUGUUGAGAUUAAUUAUGUCAAUUUGCAAUAGAGAUUUUUAAUCUCUUGCAAAGGUAAAUUCAAUACCUCUGCAGUAUUGUUUCUCCGCUGAGUACGAGGUGCAAAAUUUAAAGUGGUUUCUUCAAAUUGAUGCUUGGGAUCACAAGAUAGUCAUGUGGAUCUACUGCCUACGUAGAUUAUCGAUGACUGCUGAUAAAGUCUGCAUUUUGUCAUUUUGACAUUAUGAUUGCUUUACAAAGUGCUCUCCCACACAUUUUUCUAAGUGAUGACAUAAGGCAUUACGAGUGAGUAUUUACUGAUUUCAUCAGAUUAUACUUCCUAGUGCUGCGAGAUCUACUUCAUUUUGGAGAUUAUCUUCAAGAUGUCAUACUUAGCAAUUUGAGAUUCACACUAAUGGUUUCAAGAUAACUUCUUGAAAUACCCAUUGAUUUUGCUAAUUUUAUUACAACAUCAAUCAUGAUGGUCUUUAAUUUACUAGUUGUAAAUUAAUUAUCUCUGGUUUACUCAUAGAGGUAAUAUAUGGCUAUAGAGUUUGAGGCAUGCGCCCUCAAUGGCUACCACUGCCCUAUCUGGGCCAUGGACAUGAUGAUCGCUCUUGUGUCUCGUGGAAUAAUGGGUGCAAUCCAAGACCGUAGGAUUUACCUCUGGUCGGAAUCACACCGCUAACGGAAAAAUAUGUUGCCUUAUAAAUCUUAAGGCAUUAUAUCAAUCCAGAUCUUAGCAUCUGGUUAUUCUGUAUCAGCUAUUCCUGAGAUGUAAAGAAUCUAAAGGUCAAAGGUUUGAAUCUCACUUCAUCCCUCCAACAUGACUAUCAGCAGUCACGGGACCCUAUGAGCACGGAGAACAUGAAGGUUGAAUAUGCAUCAACUAACAUGUUUGAAGACUUCGUCUAGUCUCUCAAUCUCCUGAGUGAUCAAUAAAAUUUAUAUCCAUUUCUGAUGUUCUAAUAAGAACAUAAGUAUUGUUGUCAUCAUAUAUUGUAUAUCACAAUAUAUUAUAUCAGCACUUUGGUACAAAUACAUUUGUAUGUAUUCUAUAUAACUGAAAGUGAUUUUGAAAGUGCAACUAUCCCUGGGUGGUUUUUGGUAAUUCCUAACAAUAUAUAUCUCAUUGAGCUAAUGCUACUUGAAGAUAAAUAUUUUAGAAAAAGCUCAAUGAUUGGCAUGGCAUGGAUUAGAAAGUGGACCCCUCAAAAUGCUAAGGACGGAAGGAUUGGAUCAAGCUCAAAGCACAAGAUUCUACAUUUCAUUUUUAGUGAUCCAAGAUCACAUUGAGUCCAUAGGAAAAGCCAAUACUAUUAAGAGGGGGUGAGAUGUUGCUUAAUGAGGUUCUUGCUCAAAAUGCUUAGUGAUAUGCUCCACAACCCUCAACCACUUUCUCAUAUCCAAAUAUAUCCCAAACCAAAAGUAAAAUCCGGCGCCACCGAGUUCACUUGACAUAGUGAUAACCCACAAGUAUAGGGGAUCGCAACAGUUUUCGAGGGUAGAGUAUUCAACCCAAAUUUAUUAAUUCGACACAAGGGGAGCCAAAGAAUAUUCUCAAGUAUUAGCAGUUGAGUUUUCAAUUCAACCACACCUGGAAACUUAAUAUCUGCAGCAAAGUAUUUAGUAGCAAAGUAAUAUGAUAGUAGUGGUAACGAUGGCAAAAGGUAACGGUAGCAAAAGUAAUAUUUUUGGUGUUUUAUAGUGAUUGUAACAAUAGCAACGGAAAAGUAAAUAAGCGAAGAACAAUAUAGGAAAAGCUCGUAGGCAUUGGAUCGAUGAUGGAGAAUUAUGCCGGAUGCGAUCGAUCAUGUAACAGUCAUAACCUAGGGUGACACAGAACUAGCUCCAGUUCAUCAAUGUAAUGUAGGCAUGUAUUCCGAAUAUAGUCAUAUGUGCUUAUUGUCGGGGGUUGGGUGCAACAUAUGCCAAAGGAUGGCUAAUCAUGGUGGGAGCGAGUAGAACGUCGCCAGCGCCUGAAAGCGGGAUGAGGCGUAGACAUAAACGCCGGCGUACUUUACCCAGGUUCGGGGCUCUCCUAGGAGAUAACACCCCUAGUCUUGCUCUGCGGGGUCUCCGCAUGAUCACUAAUGCGUAAGUAGUACAACGUUGAUCUUCGAGCUGUUUGCUAGAGGUGGAAGAAGGCAGGCACGCUUUCUUCUCCUCUAGAUAUGAGUCUAGUCCUAACAGGGGCCGAAUCCUUUGCAUGGGUGUCCUGGGGGUUUAUAUAGGCCUACCCCCUAGGGGUACAAUGGUAAUCUGGCCGGGCGUAGGGCCCGGUCAUCAUUCUCUCUGGUCGCCGGCCUCUUGGCCAACAGCUGGGGCCCGCCGCCUGGUCUGGUACGGAGCCAACAAGCCGCUCCCGCCGCUUGCGGGUCUUGCCGGCUGUUGAUCAUUGUAGCUGUAACGCUAAUGACACAGGCUUGGUCGGGGAGGCGUGGCUACAGUCCCGCUGCCUGGUGGGCGAUCACUGUUGCCACUCCGUGUCUCAUCUGGUUGAUGGCGCAUGGGGCCCAAGGGAGGGAUUGGCUGCCUGCUGGUAGCCGGCUCCUCUGAGGUCUGGCUGCCCCAGCCUCCUCCGACUUUAGGGCUCUGGCUGCCAGGUAGGGCCCGCCGUCUACGAGUCGUACCUGACAGGCCUUCGUGGGAACAUGACUCCGCCUGUCAGGUGUGACGUGUGGGGGGGGGAGGCAACAGUGUCGCGUCGUGCGGAGAUCUUCGCCUGUACGGGGCACUGUGGCCACGCCCGUCCCAGGAUUCGGGGGGAAGGCUUGCACUGUAGCCGUACCCGUCUUGUUUCUUUGAUGAGGGCGCAGACUUUGAGGGUGCCACGGGCCGACUGCUAGGAGCCGGCCUCUCUGGAGGCCGCUCUCUAGGAGUCGGCCCGUCGGGAUGCCGCCCUCCAGAACUCAGCCGCCCUCGACUAGUCGGCCGCUUGGCCAACCCGCCGCCAGAAGGCGGAGUCUUUAUCUUGACGUCUUUGAGGGGCGCAGCCGGCCCCUUUGUCUUGAAAGGCUCGAGGGCUCGGGUUAGGCUACCCGUGGCCCAUUACUCCGACAGUAGUCCCCGAAGCUGGUAAGGGACUGAGGGGCCACGGUUGAGGAGCCGGGGAGCCUCAACAGUUUCCUCUUCUGGGUGCCCUGAAGGAAGCUUCGUCCAACUCAUGUGGAGCCGGCCGGUGGGAAUCGGUUGCGUCCGGUUGGAUCCUUCUGGGAUUUGGAAUGCGUUGGUGGGAAUCGGGCGGUGUGCUUGAUAAGCUUCUUUGCCUGCCGUCUGUCGCGGGCAUGCCACAUGGCGCUGGCUAGCCGGGUCAUCCUGCCACCCCACGCGCAUGACGGGACGCGACCGAAGGCCGGGCCCGCCACCACCGGGCCUCGGGUGGCGAGCGGAUCCGCGGCGGCCGAGGUAGGCGGUUGGGCUUCUCCGGGAAGUUAAUGCGCGUGAUAUUCACGCGGCAAAUGUGGGAGCGUGGGGUCAUGGGCACAGUUAAUCCCACGUUCCCACGCCCACCCCCUCGGCUUCGUAGCCCGUAGGCUAUAAGUAGGGGGAGGAGAGGAAGAGGGAACGCACGCGCGCCCCUCCGCCCCACUCUUUCUUCCAUUUCUCCUUCUCCUUGCUGCAGCGCCCGAGCCUUGCCGAAGCGCCGCCGCAGCUUGUCUCCAUCGAGCUCGUCCAUCCACUCAUCGUCCUCAUGGCGCGCACCGGAGCCUGGGACGGCUCCACAGUUCACGAGGACCACAUCGAUUUCCUCCGCCAGACGCGGCGGCUGCCCCGCGCGGACUACGUGGGGGUUCGUCUUGCGCCGAAGGGGGAGAUAUCGCCAGCGCCGGAGGAGGGCGAGCGGGUCAUCUUUCGCUCGCACUGCCUGCGCGGCCUCGGCCUGUCAACGAGCGGCUUUCUCUGAGCCUUCCUCGAAUUCUACAAUCUCCAGCCGCACCACCUCACCCCGAACAUGGUGGUGCUGCUGUCCGCCUUCGUCACCUUGUGCAAAGGCUUCCUCGGCGUCCUCCCCACCAUCGAGCUCUGGGGGGGUUCUUCUACACUAAGCUUGGCACCGUCGUCGCGGGGGUGCCGACUCAGUGCGGCGCCUUCAUCGCGGGGCGGAGGCUAGGGCCCGACAAUCCAUUUCUGUGACGCCCCAAGACCGGAGCUUCAGAUGCCUUCCAGGAUUUCCGAGAUUCCGUCGUGUGACUUGUUUGGUUCUUUACACUCAUCAUUACAUCGUUUGCAUUGCAUCAUGUCAUCUUGCCAUCAUGUCUUUUUUAACUCAACUAAAUAAAUGACAUGGAUCUUUGAUUCAUUUAAAUCGAGGGAAUUCACAUGGUGAGUUCUCUUUAUAACACAUAUCCUCCCGAUAGUAGGGAGCUAUAUUAAAUAUUUCUUUAAUUUGAAAUCCACCAUAACACACUUGCAAAAUCCCAAUGCCUUUGUUAUCACAACUCUCGGCCUCUAACUUUGCCAUAUAUCCUUUCGUCAUUUUCCGGAGCUCCACCUAAAAAUCUCAACAUUUUUGGUCACUCCAAAAACCUCGUCCUAGUUCAAACCCAUUUGAAGUAAAUUGAAAUGAGUUUGAAUUCUUAUCGUUCGAACUGGCCUUUUUCUAAUUUUCUCAGAACAAGCAUAUUUUUGUAAGUUCGUGAAAAUUAUCCCCAUGUCCAGAUUCCACCCCUACCUUCUCUUUCUUUUCUUUCUCCUUUUCUGUUUUGUUUUAAAUGGGAAAAGUGAUAUAGAGAGUGAGAGGCGGCCUGCAUCCGUGCCAAGGCCCAUGUCCUCUAAGGCCCACCUAAUCCCGUCUAAACCCUAACCCGACCGAACCCCACUCCCUCUCGAUCCCCACUCCUCUUCUCUUCCACCUCGACUCAGAAGAGGAGCCCCGCGCCCGUUUCCCCAGCGCCGCCGGUGACAACCAAGCCUCCCCUCCCGGCGCACCUCUUCUCCUUCCUCCGCCUAGAACCUGCGGAACCCGCAGAGCCCCGCGCCCCUGGCAUCCCCACGCUCGUCGCCUCCCCUUCGCUCAAGCCCUGCAUCCCUGCCGAGGCGAGCGCCAAGUUCCAUCGCAAGCCGCCGCCCGGACCAGGCCGUCCCCGCGUCGUCCCUGCCGUUAAGAUCGUCGCCCGCAACGGCGCAGCCGCUACGUUCCCCUGCUUCACCGGAGUUCCUCGCAGCCAGACCCUUCCUCGAGGAGCGCCGCUGUCCUGCUGCCAUGUUCCGCCGCUGCCGGCUGCCGCCUCGUCACCACGCGGUUCUCCUCGCUGCUCCUCCCCGAGCUGGAGCCUCCUCUCCUCCCUGCGCCCUUCGCCAAGGCCGCCCAUCCAUGGCUGCUGCGUAGCCCCGACCUUCACCGCCGCCUACUGGAGUAGGACAGUGCCUCCGCUAUCACCACCGGCGACCGCGCCACCCAGGCCCUCGUGACCUCAAGUCCCUCGCCGUACAAGUUGCUCUGCUUUGCCGCCCCUGCUCCGACCUGCAAGCUCCGCCGCCGCUCACCCUUGGCGCCAUGGCCUCUGCCUGCUUUGGAUGACCCGUUGCCGCCGUGCACAACUUAUGCCGUGCCCUGUUGUGCGUGCUCUUCGCAGCCUGUCACUGUUGACGUGAAGACCGUGGGUGCCAAGUUCCUUUUCCAGAGUCGUUAAAGUGCACGAGGACCUCGAUGUACGACUACAUGAUGACGCGCCAAGUUUCCCUCCGACCGUGUACAACUGCUCACGCUAAAGACCAUGUAUACCUCUACCGUUGCCAAGUAGCCCUCGGAUCCGUCAAGUUCCACUACCCUCUUGUGCACCACUACCGUCGCCCGGAAGACGUUGGAGUCAUCAAGUGCCUCUUCGAACGGACGUGAACGACUACCGUCGCAAGAACGGGACCGGCAAGUCCGAAGAUCCCAAGUACCACGACAACCCCGAAGGGGUUCGAGUUCGUCAAGUUCACCUUCGAAACGUGUACCACUACCGACGACUGAGACCCUGGAUUCGACAAGUUCCUCACGGCGACCCUGAACAUCUACGGGACAUGCACGACUUCAAACCGUGUACCACGUCGAACAUGUACGGCUACACGACGAACCGCCAAGACCCUAAACGACUACCGCCGCCGAAGUCCGCGAGUACAACUACUUCCACAACGCGUCGUGUACGACUACCGUCGCUUGGGUUUGACAAGACUCCGAGUACCAAUACGUUUGCCAUGUACAACUACACCAAGUUCGGACCGACAAGUGCCUUGAGAACGUCUGUACCUCUUCCGUCAUCGAGGUCCGAAAGUACCACUACGUCCCAUCGAACCCGAACCGUCUCGUUUGCACGCUUCGAAGGUAUAACCCCGAGACGACGUCCGUGAACGAAUGCUUGCGAUGUUUGAGAUGCUCGUGUUUGCAUCGUGUCCAAAUUGUCACUUGUUCCUUGUCGCCAACUCGUGGGACACCCGGUAUCCGAGAGUGCCCCACCUUCUUUUGCUCGCUCCCGCCACUUUUCCUUUUGCACCGGUAUCCCCGUGAGCUACCGGAACCGAUAUGGUGCCGUGUCAUCAUUUUUGGAUUCGUCACCGUGGCACCCUUUUCUUUCCACCACGGUGACAAAUGCUUCAUAAUGCUCUUGUCAACUUUUAAUAAAAAUUGCAUAAAACUUGCAGAUGUCGUCCACAUCAUGAUAACAACAUCAAGAAUGUUUAAAUUAUUGUUUGCAUUAAUUGCUAAAUGCAUAUGAGGAUUUACCGGAAUUGUUGUUUGAUGUUUCCGGCCUCAUUUAAAAUGCCUAACUGUGUAUUUUACUCAUGUUUCACCUCUUGCCAUGCUUAACAACAUUUAAUAUUGUUGAGUGCAUAAACGAGAUCGAACUAAAUAACUGGUUGUGGUGUUUCGUCAAUAUGCAACUCGUUGCAUAUUGAGCUCCACUUAACUUUUAGUUUUGCUUGUGCACUUUGCCAUGUCAUGCCCUCAUUAAACCGGACAUGCAUCAUACUUGGUUGUGCAUCAUGCCAUGAUUAUGUGUUGGUUGUUUAUUUUGUUGUUUGCCCCUUUCCGGUGUUGCUUCUUCGGGUUAGUUUCGAUAACGUCACGUUUGUGAGGAUCCGUUCGACUACGUCCGUUUGUCUUCUUCAUGGACUCGUUCUUCUUCCUUGCGGGACUUCAGGCAAGAUGACCAUACCCUCGAAAUCACUUCUAUCUUUGCUUGCUAGUUGCUCGCUCUUUUGCUAUGCCUAUGCUGCGAUACCUACCACUUGCUUAUCAUGCCUCUCAUUUUGUUAAGCCAAGCCUCUAACCCACCUUGUCCUAGCAAACCGUUGUUUGGCUAUGUUACCGCUUUGCUCAGCCCCUCUUAUAGCGUUGUUAGUUGCAGGUGAAGAUUGGAGUUUGUUCCUUGUUGGAACAUGGAUAUUUUGUUGGGAUAUCACAAUAUCUCUUAUUUAAUUAAUGCAUCUAUAUACUUGGUAAAGGAUGGAAGGCUCGGCCUUAUGCCUGGUGUUUUGUUCCACUCUUGCCGCCUUAGUUUCCUUCAUAUCGGUGUUAUGUUCCCGGAUUUUGCAUUCCUUACACGGUUGGGUUAUAAUGGGAACCCCUUGACAGUUCGCUUUGAAUAAAACUCCUCCAGCAAGGCCCAACCUUGGUUUUACCAUUCACCACCUAGCCUUUUUCCCUUGGGAGUCGUGCAUCCCGAGGGUCAUCUUUAUUUUAACCCCCCGGACCAGUGCUUGUCUAAGUGUUGGUCCAAACUAGAGCCCCUUGCAGCGCCACCUCGGGGAAACUCGAGGGCUGGUUUUAGUUGUACGGAUUGCUUAUUCGGUGUGCCCUGAGAACGAGAUAUGUGCAGCUCCUAUCGGGAUGUCGGCGCAUCGGGCGGUCUUGCUGGACUUGUUUUACCAUUGUCGAGGAUGUCUUGUAACCGGGAUGCCGAGUCUGAUCUGAUUGUCUUGGGAGAAGGAAUAUCCUUCGUUGGCCGUGAGAGCUUGUGAUGGGCUAAGUUGGAACACCCCUGCAGGGAUUUGAACUUUCGAAAGUCGUUCCCGCGGUUAUGGGCAGAUGGGAAUUUGUUAAUGUCCGGUUGUAGAAAACCCGAAGUUGAUCUUAAUUAAAAUACAUCAACCGUGUGUGUAACCGUGAUGGUCUCUUCACGGCGGAGUCCGGGAAGUGAACACAGUGUUGGAGUAAUGCUUGACGUAGGUUGUUCUAGGAUCACUUCUUGAUCAUAGUUUCUCGACCGUGCUUUGCCUUCUCUUCUCGCUCUCAUUUGCGUAUGUUAGCCACCAUAUAUGCUAGUCGCUUGCUGCAGCUCCACCUCAUACCUUUUACCCUUCCUAUAAGCUUAAAUAGUCUUGAUCACGAGGGUGUGAGAUUGCUGAGUCACCGAGACUCACAGAUACUUCCAAAACCAGCUUGCAGAUGCCGUUGAACCGUGCAGAUGACGCAACCAAGCUCAAGGAGGAGCUCGAUGAAGAUCUUGUCCUUUGUGUUGUUUCGUUCUAGUUGAUCAGUAGUGGAGCCCAGUUGAGACGAUCGGGGAUCUGUGUAGCAUUUGGGGUAGUCUUCUUUUAUUUUGGUUCCGUAGUCGGACCUUGAUUGUAUCUAGUUGAUGUAAUGCUUUAUUCAUGUAAUUGUGUGAAGUGGUGAUUGUAAGCCAACUAUGUAUCUCUUUCCCUUAUGUAUUACAUGGGUUGUGUGAAGAUUACCUCACUUGCGACAUUGCUUACAAUGCGGUAAUGCCUCUAAGUCGUGCUUCGACAUGUGGGAGAUAUAGCCGCAUCGUGGGCAUUACAAUUUCCUCCCAUCACGCUGAUGCAAUCAGUGAAGUUGUGGCAGCAGUCGUACUUUUACGUGAAGAGCAUCUUCGCGGAGGGUGACUGGGUCAACCUGCCGGCUUAUGUUGCCGGCUCGCCGACUGGGAAGCGGCCUAACUGGUCAUACCGGGCCAAGACGCUGUCGCCUUCGGGAGCCGCCGCCGUCGCACGGCUCUGGGUGAUGGUACAGUCGGAGGGCCUGACCGGGUCCGACUUGCUGUCCGCCUUCGUGGCGCGCCGGGUGCUCCCGCUCCAGGGCCGCCCUCACAUGAUAAGUCAGAUGAGCGGUCAUCGGGAUCCAAGUCGGCUGUGCACCAAAGAGAUGCCUCACUCAGAGGUAGCUCACAUGGUGAACUACCUUGCAAACUGCAAGCUCACGAAGGAGUGGUAGUUUGGCAAGGAGCCGUAUUCCCGUGCCAACCCCCCGCCUAUGAUAAUUUUCCCUUCCUUUUGUUUUUCUUCCUCUUUGUCGGGUUCCAUUUGCCUAAUCUGACUAGUCGGCUCUUUGGACAAAGCGCCCUCCUCCAGCCGGCAGCCGGCGCCGCAGGGCCGGAGCGCCGAUUUCUCCCCGAUCAAGCGGAGUGCGACGUAGAUGACCCCGACUUGGGGGCGGCGGCUUUGGAGGACGACGUCAAGGGAGGAGCCGGCGCCGCGGGCGGCUCGGGGCUCGGAGCCAGCCUCGAGGACUGGCCAAAUGACGACGCGGGGGAAGUUGUCCCGCGUCGCCAGCCGGGCUCCGACCAGUAGGGCACGAGCUCGUCUGGCGCGCCGGCAGCCCGAGCCGGCACGCAUAAGCGCAGAGCCGCGUCGAGCCUGUUUGGCAGCUGGCCGAAGAAACCCAGGGGCUCGGCUGCGGCGACCAAGCAGGACGAAGCGUCCGCUAAAGCCGACCACUUCCGCAAGGUGGUGAAGACGCCGCCGCUGGUUUCUGCGUAAGUUCUGACUUCCUUCGUACUUUCUUCUUUCUUGCCGAUCUCAUCCGAGUCUUCUCUACUCCGUUCCCUUUGAUUUAGGGCCCCACUCGUUCUUGAGAAAUCGGCCGCUGCCUCCAUCGUGAGGUCGACGGAGACCUCCACCACCACCCAGCGGAUCGAUCCGGCCGCCGACCUCCGGGAGGCGACGGAGCGGAAUGCGCGGGAGGCGCACGAGGAGGCCGCCCGCCUGGAGAAGGCGGAGGCGGACAAGGCGGAGGCCGCCGCCCUGAAGAAGCUGGCGGUGGCCGAGGCCGCUGAUGCGGCGAAGAAGCGGGCUGAAGAAGCCGCGCGCCGUCAGUCGGCGACGUUCGUCGUCCCCCUGAACUCUGCGCCGCCACCACCGGAGUUUGUGGCACAGACUGGGGAAACCGAUAGCGAGCACCCUAUCAUGGAGACGGAGGGCGGCGACGCCGCCAUUCUGGAUGUAAUCAUGCCCCCACCACCACCUUUUGAGGAGGCACGAGACAAGCAGCCGGGCGACCCACCGGUGCCGCCGGCCGGAAAUGAGAUGGUGACUGGCCCGACUCCCAGGGCUCGCACACCCUUGCGCCGCCGGUCUGUGAAGGCGGCCUCGGCGCCACGCCCACUGGAGGUCAGCGCCGCGAGCUCCUCCAUCCUAGACACCGAGGCGACCAGCGUCGCGCCUGCUGGAUGGGCGCGGGAAGGCGGGAUGACCCACCUGAACAAGGCGGUCCUAGAGGUCCAAGCCAAACUCCGCGCCUAGGCUGAUGCUCUCAAGCAUUGCAACAAGGCAUUCCUGGAGUCGCGAGAGGCCAUCCAGGUAUACCUCUUGAUCCUUUAUUUUCAAUUUUCGUAUUGCUUCAUGGGGGCGCGCCAGCGCACCCACUGGGUGUAGUCCCCGAAUUCAGGGCCGGCUGCUGAGCAGGCGGCCUGAAACUCUAACUCGCAAGCUCCAAGUACUAAUAUAUUUGCUGUAGGGCUAUCAUAACCUCCGCGCGGCCGCCUUCAACUCCAGAGUCUAGGAGUUGGACCAAUGCGCCGCCGACUUGUCGGAGAGCCAGAGUAAGUCCUCUUCUUUCUGCGGGGGUGCGCUGGCGCACCCGCGGGCUGUAAUCCCCGAGAUCCGGGCUGACUACUGAGCAGUCGGGUCGGAUCUUCCUGGCGCUACAUCUUUCUUUGCUGAUUAUUGUCGUUUCCUUCUUUUUCUGAUUUUGCAGAGGCCAACGCCAUCCUUCAACGGCAACUGGGAGAAGCCAACGUCGCGCUGCAUGCCAAAGAGGUGGACUGCAACAAGCUGGCUGAAGAACGUGACCGGCUGGCCAUGCAGCUGGCGGAGCAGGCGGGGCUUCUCCAGAAUGCCCAUAAGGAGGCAGAGGACAAGGAGGCGGGUCUUCUCGCUGAGUUCGAGAUCGAACGCUCCGCCUGUAUAGACAAGGAGGCGAUGCCGACGGUCGACUUUGGUGAAAUCGAGGAUAUGGUUGACGGUAGGCGACCUUCUUUACUUUUCUUUUAAGUCACCAGCCUCUAGCCAAGCCGGCUUCUUCUCUUCUUGUUCUGACUCUUUUGCUUAGUCCUGACAGACUUCUUUCCAGGCCACUCUGGUGCCGCCAACUAGGCUAUCGAGGCCGACCGUGAAGAACGAAGGGCGGAAGGCGAGAGGAUCGUCGCCAAUGCCCCUUGCACCCUUCGCGAGCAGCUUCUCAGCAUCCAGCCCCGUCUUCGACCGACUCAUCGGAUGCUGCGCCGCCUUCAGCGUGUCGGCGCCCAGGCAAUCGUCGCCUUGUGGCAUGACAGGCCGGCCCCGCGCACCCCCAACCGGACUGCCGACUGGCUGGAGGUGGCGGAUGGCCGCCUUAAGGCGUGGAAGGGCUCCUCGGCCCGGGCCGGAGCGCGCCAAGCCUUGGAGUUCAUCAAGGCAUGGUACCCUGGGCUAGAUCUAGCCCAGUUGACAAUGUUCCGACAGGAGGAGCUGGUGGCGGUGGAGGGAGAACUCGUCAAGCGGGCGGCGGCCAUCGCCGAGUACACCGUCGCCGGAGUCUUUAUCCCGGAGCCGGCUAAGGACGGCACCGAGGCGCCGCCAGAAUGGUUCGGGCUGAACCCGGAGGAGGGCAAGGACUCGGCCGAGGUGAUCGACUCCAGUGACGAGGGAGAAGACGGGGAGGAGGAGGAAGGCGAAGAGGAGGCGCCAGAGGUCGGAGCGGACGGCCAGCCCCAACUCGACCGCGCCUCCAGCAACGAACUGCGCCCGAAUGAGCCGGCUGCCACUGGAGGGGACCAAGCGGGGACCGACCAGCCGUCCGCUCGUCCAGCCAGCGCCACCGACUCCACCACUCCGCCGAACCCGUCCGCCAAUCCCUAGGCUGCCACUUUACUUUUUAUUUCUCCCUGUUUAUUAGCCUCAAUGAACUUGGUUAGCUUCGCACAAUUCCACCCGCGGGGUGUAUUUGAAACUUAUGUUAGAUGUCGGCCAAGGGCCUUUGAUGUGUAAAUAUUUUAUCCGAGUUCUACCUUUCCUUGCCUUCUACUCUUUUGGCUUUUUCCUUUGCCGCCUUCCCUUGGUUGCCGUCUUGCCAGCCGAACAGCCGCUCUGCGGACUAUGGCUGGGUUAAGUACUUAGCUACUUUUGGGAAGGCAAGUACUGGGCCGGCUAGAGUUUUCUUGGCAAGUUAAGUAAAAACCGGUCGGCCGAUUGCUCGGCAAUCGGUUGGUGCGGCGAGAAGCCGGCUUGGACUAUGUCAAUGCCUUAAGUCCUUAGCCAUUUUUCAUGCAGGCGCCCUUUUCGCCUUGACUCCUGUCGACCGAACAGCUGCUCUGCAGGCUGCGGCCUCUGGCAGGAGAAAGCUAGGGUGCUGACACACUACUUGUCCGGCUGCAGGAAGCAUCUCAUAGUACAAGGCGGCAAGUCCCCGGGUCGACUGGUCAAACCCGGUGCGAGACAGAUUAAUGAAAUAACACAAACGAAAGGCGUAAUACUUAUCAUAUAGACAAAAGAGGGCAGUCCCCGAGCUCUUCUCGGGGGACGCGGAGUCUUUGUACUUAAUACAAAAGUCAGCGUGAUACAUAGUGCUUUUUAGCUGUAAAACCUUCGAAGAAGGUUCGCAUCCAUGGUCGCUCUGUCUCCUUGCCGGAGUCAUCUCUUUUUCGUGAUCAAGGCUUCUGAGCGUUGAUGAGGUAGUAGGAGUCGUUACCCAACAUCUUGCUGAUGAUGAAGGGGCCUUCCCAAGGUGCCGAGAGCUUGUGCUGGCCGGCUGUUCGCUGGAUCAGCUGGAGCACAAGGUCUUCUUCUUGGAAGGAUCUUGGCUUGACCUUUCGGUUGUAGUAUUGGUGCAAGCUCUGCUGGUAGAUGGUGGACCUGCUGAGUGCCAACAGGCGGCCCUCUUCCAGAGAUUGACGUUGUCUUGUCGUGCUUCUUCUGCCUCCUCUUCGGUGUACAUGGUGACUCGAGGGGAGUCGAAUUCUAUGUCCGACGGGAUGACGGCUUCGGCACCGUAGACGAGAAAGAAAGGUGUAAAGCCGGUUGACUUGUUCAGAGUUGUGCGCAGGCUCCAGAGGACGGCCGGAAGCUCGUCGAGCCAGCAGCCGGCCGACCGCUCCAGAGGCUCGACCAGUCGGGGCUUGAUGCCAGAUAAAAUGAGGUCGUUUGCUCGCUCCACCUGGCCAUUUGACUGCGGAUGGGCAACAGACGCUAGGUCCAGUCGGAUGCCCUGCGUCGCGCAGAAACGGGCCAAGGCACCUUUGGCGAAGUUCGUGCCAUUGUCGGUGAUUAUGAUGUGUGGUAUGCCAUACUGGAUGGUGAUGUCGAAGAUGAAAGUCACAACAGUCGAACCAUUCAACUUCUUGAUUGGUUUUGCUUCUAUCCACUUGGUGAACUUGUCCACCGCGACAAGCAGAUGAGUCAAGCCACCUCUUGCUGUCUUGAAUGGUCCCACCAUAUCCAGGCCCUAGACAGCAAAGGGCCAGGCGAUGAGAAUAGUCUUGAGUGCAGAAGCCGGCUGGUGACGCUUUGAACGAAACUUAUGGCACCCUUUGCAUUUCUGGACCAAGUCAUUGGCGUCUUCUAGGGCAGUCGGCCAGGAAAACCAUGGCGGAAAGCCUUGGCCACCAGAGCCCUUGAGGCCGCGUGGUGACCACACUCGCCCUGAUGGAUAUCUUUGAGGAUUGCCUGGCCUUGCUCUGGCUUGACACAGCACUGGUAAACACUAGUGACACUGUGCCUCACAAGCUCUCUGUUGACUAUGGUGUAUGCUGCCGCCCGGCGUUGCACUUGCCGGGCCGAGAUCUCGUCGGUUGGCAGCUCUUUUUUCACCAAAAAUUUGAGGAUGGGCUGGGCCCAUGAAGGUGCUGCAAUUUCUUCGAUCGCCAGGACUGCCACUUGUACGAGGGCGGCUGGGCUAGGAGGUGGUGGGUUGGAGUCGGCCACCGCUUGCUGAGUUGAUGAAGUCCCCGGGCCGACUGCUGCAGUCCCCGGGUUGUCCGCCGAAGUUCCCGCGUCGGUUGGCGGGGCUCUCAAGUCGGAUCCGACUGCUUCAGGAGGAGCCAGCACAAAUAUAGAAUCUGACUCUGGUGAUGGCUUGACGGACGGCUUGAGGAGUCGUUGCAAGGCAACGCCGGUUGGUAUUGCUUGCCGGGUGGAGCCGAUUCGUGCCAAGGCGUCGGUUUGCUCAUUGUCAUUUCUUGGCACAUGAAGGAACCCCCACCCUUCGAAGUAUCCACUGAGUUGCUGUGCGAGAAAGCGGUAGCUGGCCAUAUUUGCAUCCUUUGCGUCCCAGUCGCCUGAUGACUGCUGGACCACCAAAUCGGAGUCUCUGUAACACAGGAUCCGGCGAAUGCCGAGUUCCUUGGCCAACCGGAGCCCGUGAAUGAGUGCUUCGUAUUCAGCAACAUUGUUGGAGGCGGCAAACUGAAUUUGCAGCGCAUAUCUGAGCUUGUCGCCCUUGGGGAAGUGAGAACGACGCCGGCUCCCAAACUGGUGCGCAUUUUUGAACCAUCGAAAUGCAUCCGCCAAUGGGUGGAAUCUGGCGCUGGUGGCAAGUACUGGGUCUCGGCCCAGUCGACGAGGAAGUCGGCCAGUGCUUGUGACUUGAUGGCGGUGCGAGGCUGGUAAUAGAUGGUGUAGGGGGUAAAUCUAUGGCCCACUUGGCCACUCGGCCCGAGGCAUCUUGACUUCCAAUAAUCUCAGCGAGCAGAGCUGUGCAGACCACGGUGAUUUGGUGCUCUUGGAAGUAUGGCUGCAGUCUCUUGGCAGCAAAGUGCACACCAUAACACAUCUUCUGAUAGUGGGGGCAGUUCUGCUUGGAGGCGGACAGUACUUCGCUUAGGUAAUACACCAGCCUCUGGAUUGGUAGGGCUUUGCCUUCUUCUUUCCGUUCCACCACUAUGACGGUGCUAACCACCCGGCUGGUAGCGGCAAUGUAGAGGAGCAUGGGCUCCUUAGGAGUUGGGGCCGCCAAGACAGGCGGGGUGGUCAACAUUUUCUUGAGCUGGAGAAAAGCUUCAUCCGCCUUGUCGUUCCACUUGAAAAAGGUGGUUUUCUUCAUGAGAUGAUACAGGGGAAGGGCCUUCUUGCCCAGCCGACUGAUGAAACGGCUGAUAGAUGCCAAGCAGACGGUGAAUUUUUACACAUCCAGCAGUCGGGUGGGCACCUCCAUCCUCUCGAUGGCCUUGAUCUUCAUAGGGUUGCACUCUAUGCCGCGCUCUGAGACCAGAAAGCCAAGAAGUUGGCUGGCUGGUACCCCAAAGACACACUUCUCUGGGUUGAGAUUGAUCUGAAAUCGGCGUAAGUUCUCGAAAGUCUCCCCGAGAUCCUCCAGUAGCGUCCCACGCUUCUCUUUCUUCACCACCACAUCAUCUACAUAGACAUGAGCGUUUCUGUCGAGUUGUUUGAGGAGACACUUCUGCAUGCAACGCUGAAAGAUGGCGCCGGCAUUUCUCAAGCCGAACAUCAUGGUCAGGUAGUAGAAGGCUUCAAAUGGUGUGAUGAAGGCGGUCUUCAUCCUGUCGGCCGGGACCAGCUUGAUCUGGUGGUACCCGGAGUAUGCAUCCAAAAAACUCAACAGCUCGCAUCCGGCUGUGGAGUCGAUCACUUGGUAGAUUUUGGGCAGAGAAAAUGGAUCUUUGGGGCAUGCUUUGUUGAGGCUGGUAUAAUCAAUGCACAUGCGCCACUUCUUGUUCUUCUUCAGCACUAGGACUAGAUUGGCUAACCAUUCUGGAAAGAACACCUCCAUGAUGAAGCCGACUGCCAGGAGCCGGGCUAUCUCUUCCCCAACAACUCUUCUUUUCUCUUCUGAUAGGCGACGCAAGGGCUGCCGGACGGGCUUGGCAUCAGAUCGGACGUGUAACUUGUGCUCGGGGAAAUCCGUCAGUACACCUGGCAUGUCUUUGGGGGACCAUGCGAAAAUGUCCCGAUUCUCAUGGAGGAAAUCGACGAGCUCGCCUUCCUAUUUACUUUCAAGGUUCACGCCAAUGAUAGCAUACCUCUCCGGGUGCUCCGGGUCCAAAGGUAUCUUCUUUGUCUCUUUGGCCGGCUUGAACGAGCCCUCGGCUUCCGACUCCUUGGAGUUGGGUGACAUUUCCGGCUGCUUCCCUGCCAUUGCCACAACCCGGUCAAGGAGCCGUUUCUCUACUGCGAUCACGAGAGACUCGGCUAACCGGCUGCUCUCCGCCACGCAGACGGAUGACUUCUUGUAGUCUCCUGCUACGGUCAGGAUUCCCUUAGAGCUUGGCAUCUUCAUCUUUAGGUAAGCAUAGUGGGGAACGGCCAUGAACUUGGCCAAGGCAGGCCGGGCAAGCUGUGCGUGAUAAGGGCUCUCAAGAUCCACCACCUCAAACCAGACUGGCUCUCGGCAGAAAUGAGUUUUGUCCCCGAAGAGGACAUCUAUUUGAGUCUUGCCGAUUGGUGAGCAGGAAAGGCCAGGAACUAUGCCAUGGAAAACAGUCCGACUGGGCUGAAGGUGUCUCUACUUGAUUCCAAUUUCUCCAUGGUAUCCUUGUACAGAAUGUUGAUGCUGCUGCCGCCGUCUAUCAAGACUCGGGAAAAACGGGCAGCCCGCCUCUCUGUGGCAAACAUGGCUUCCAAUACCAGAGCACAGGAGCCGGGACUGGGCAUCACCUCCGGGUGGUCGGCUCUGCUCCAGCUGAUGGGCUUCUCAGACCAAUGCAUGAAUUCCGGGGUCUCUGAUACUACUGCAUUCACUUCCAACCGCUGCUGCCGCCUGCUGCGCCUAUCGUCGGCCACGCUAGUGAACACGAUGUAGGCCCCCUGCUCCUCAGGAUAAUCAUCCUGCACGACGCCGAUUGGCCGAGCCGCCGGCUGCUGUGGGGAAGGAGGCGGCGGGCCGGCAGGGGGAGCGGGCUGGAGUCCGUCACCCUUGGCAAUCCUGGUGAGCCAAUGGAACUUUCGAGUGGUGUGAUUGGAUGGCUUCGCACUGCUAUGGAACUUGCAGGGGGCAUCAAGAGUCUGCUCGUACAAGAAGGCGGGCAGCCAAUUAGGCUUGCCACCCUUCUGACGCUUGGGAUGAGGCUGCACUUCUGGUUGUCGAUCUUCAAGUGCUGCCACCUGCCGGCUUGUGGAAACCGGCUGCGCGGCCUUGCGCUUGUUGUCGUUCGGCUGCUGCCGCCGACUGGCCUCGCCAGCCGGGGUCCGAGGGUCUUGGGGAGCCACCUUGCCCGACACGUUGACUUGAAUUUACGCCUUCAUGGAGGAGUCGGCUGUGGCGUACUUGUCUGCUAUGAUUAGCAGCUCGUCAAGGGUCGCUGGUGUAACGCCCCGGAUGUAACUUACCCAAUUUGUACUCCAACUCUUGCCGUUUCCGGCCUUAAGUUAUUUUAUUUUCUCGGGUUCGGGUCUUUGUCUCUGUGUGUUGUUAUCGUUGUCAUGCAUCUCAUAUCAUGUCAUCAUGUGCAUUGCAGUUGCAUACGUGUUCAUCUCAUGCAUUUGAUCAUUUUCCCCGUUGUCCGUUUUGCAUUCUGGCGCUUCGUUCUCCUCCGGUGGUCAUUUCUACCUUUCUUUCGUGUGUGGGGAUUAAAAUUUCCGGAUUGGACCGAGACUUGCCAAUCGGCCUUGGUUUACUACCGGUAGACCGCCUGUCAAGUUUCGUACCAUUUGGACUUCGUUUGAUACUCCAACGGUUAACCGAGGGACCGAAAAGGCCUCGUGUUUGUUGCAGCCCAACACCCCUCCAAGUUGGCCCAAAACCCACCUAAACCUGCUCCAUCAUCUAGAGCGUUCGAUCACGAUCGCGUGGCCGAAAACCGCACCUCAUUUGGACUCUCCUAGCUCCCUCUAUGCCUAUUUAAAGUCCCCUCCCGAAAAUUCUGGAUCCAACCACCCUAACCCUAGUCGUCUUCCACCUCUCGCCGCCGGACACGUCCGAUUCGAGCCGGACGUGUCCGACUUGUACCUCCGCCGCCACGUGUCGCCACCCCACUGGCCCGGCCGCAUCUCCCAGCCGCCGGCCCGCAAGCCCGCCACGGGCCCUCCCGGCCUGAGAUCCCGCGCCGCUUGGCCCGCCUCCCCGCCGCCCGNNNNNNNNNNNNNNNNNNNNNNNNNNNNNNNNNNNNNNNNNNNNNNNNNNNNNNNNNNNNNNNNNNNNNNNNNNNNNNNNNNNNNNNNNNNNNNNNNNNNNNNNNNNNNNNNNNNNNNNNNNNNNNNNNNNNNNNNNNNNNNNNNNNNNNNNNNNNNNNNNNNNNNNNNNNNNNNNNNNNNNNNNNNNNNNNNNNNNNNNNNNNNNNNNNNNNNNNNNNNNNNNNNNNNNNNNNNNNNNNNNNNNNNNNNNNNNNNNNNNNNNNNNNNNNNNNNNNNNNNNNNNNNNNNNNNNNNNNNNNNNNNNNNNNNNNNNNNNNNNNNNNNNNNNNNNNNNNNNNNUCUCUCCGGCGAGUUCCUCCAGUGAACAGUCCGGCCGGCCAACCUCGUACGACGUGCGCCGAUCCAGAUCCGGAUGAACAGUAACCCUAGGUGUUUUUUCUUCUAAGUCCUGGGAUUUUCAAAUCCAAGUGCCCAUGUUCAUAGCAUCGACUCUCCGCAUCCGUAACUCCGAUUCAUGCAUAUAACAUAUCAAAAUGUUCGUCCCAGAGAGUACAUCAUUUCAUUCCAUUGCAUCAUUUUCAUUUGAGUUCAUCUUGAUGCCCUAAAUGCUGUUAGAAGAGGGCUACUUGAGAUAAUUGUUAGAUCUGCUACUCCAUUUAGCUUUUUGUCAAAUUUGCCAUGAUUAUUGUGUGCAUGAUAUGCCCUGUUGCUCUACAUAUGUUUUGUUAAGGGUUUUGUCAUCUUUCCAGAGGUGCAACCCAUGUAUUUUUGUGAUGUGUGUGGUGACUAGUGCAAGCUUGCAAAGUGAGGCACUUGGUAAUUCUGAUUUCAGGGACUUAGCAUUUCCACCAAGUCCUUGAGCUAUUUAUCUCAUGAUGCCAUAUGUUCAUGUUGUUUCCUAGUGAUCCGUGCCUCUUUUGAGGAUGAUCAGUAAGGAUGUUUUAUUCAUCUUGUAUUGCUCUAUCCAUCCAUGCCUUUGUUUGCAAUUAUGGAGCACCCUAGCUUGAUUCAAUCGAGCUCUACUUUUGCUACUUUGUGAAUCUAGGCAGAUUGUCAACUUGUUUGCAAUUUUGCCGAUGUUGUUGUAGAUGAUCCGUGCAUGCUAUGCUAUUGUUCUUGUCAUGUCUAGCUUGAAUUUUGUGUGUUCUUGAUAGAUGUAUGCUUAGCUUUUCAUGACUUGCACCGUAGUGAGUGCAUCGAGCUCGUGAACAUGCUUACUUGAGUUAUGUUUCAGCAUGUGUUUUUGCUAUGUUCACAUGCUUGCUAAUAUAUUUUCUGAUCCCUUUUGGCUCAAGGUCACUAAGGGACUUUUGUUAAGCUAUUUGAGUAGCUCCAUGCCAUGUCUUACUCUGCCAUGUUCAGGUUCUGUAGCAUGUAGUUUUGUUGCUCCGAAGAGUGCUACUUGGUCUGAAAUUCCAGACAAGUGUUAAUUUCACUAAGUCUGAGAUCUGUUUACCAUAUGCAUAUUUGCCAUGCUUGUUUGAACCUGUUAAUGGAUGAAUUGGCCAUGGCUCAGUGCUAGACUUUUGUUAAGCAUCUUGAAUGCAUCCCUGCCAUGUAUUUUGAUGCCAUGUUUGAGUGCCGUAGCAUGUUCAUCUCAUUGCAUUUAUAUGGCUACUUGCUGUAAAUCGCAGACCGGUGUCAUAUUUGAAUCGCUUGCCAUUUCCAAACCGUAACUCCGAUUCCGGCGUUCUUUAUAUCAUUUCAAGCGAUUUCAUCUCAUCUUUUCAGUGGCACACUUGGAUUCCCAAGUCGAGGCCAGGUUCAUGCAUUCCCUGUCAUAUCUUGCAUAUGCAUCCCGCAUCGCAUCCCGCAUAGCAUAUCAUCAUUGCAUCAUAUUAUUUGAUCCUUGCACAUGGUUGAUUGUGUCCUUGUUGCUUGUUUGUCUUGUUUGGGUAGAGCUGGGAGACGAGUUCGCUAACGAGGAGCCCGUUGAGUUUGCUUUCGAGGAUCCAGUCAACUCUGACAGCUUUGCAGGCAAGAUGAUCAUACCCUCGAAAUCACUACUAUCUUUGCUAUGCUAGAUUGCUCGCUCUUUUGCUAUGCCAAUGCUACGAUGCCUACCAUUUGCUUUCAAGCCUCCCAAAUUGCCAUGUCAAACCUCUAACCCACCAUGUCCUAGCAAACUGUUGAUUGUCUAUGUUACUGCUUUGCUCAGCCCCUCUUAUAGUGUUGCUAGUUGCAGGUGAAGAUUGGAGGCCGUUCCUUGUUGGAACAUUUAUUUUACUUGUUAGGAUAUCAUUAUAUUGCCAUGUUAUCUUAAUGCAUCUAUAUACUUGGUAAAGGGUGGAAGGCUCGGCCUCUCGCCUAGUGUUUUGUUCCACUCUUGCCGCCCUAGUUUCCGUCAUAUCGGUGUUAUGUUCCCGGAUUUUGCGUUCCUUACGCGGUUGGGUUAUAAUGGGAACCCCUUGAUAGUUCGCCUUGAUUAAAGCUUUUCCAGCAAUGCCCAACCUUGGUUUUACCAUUUGCCACCUAGCCUUUUCCCUUGGGUUUCGCGGACUCAAGGGUCAUCUUAUUUUAACCCCCCGGGCCAGUGCUCCUCUGAGUGUUGGUCCAAACUGAGCUGCCUGCGGGGCCACCUCGGGGCAACUUGAGGGUUGGUUUUACUCGUAGCUAGUCUCAUCUGAGUGUGCCCUGAGAACGAGAUAUGUGCAGCUCCUAUCGGGAUUUGUCGGCACAUUCGGGCGGUGUUGCUGGUCUUGUUUUAACCUGUCGAAAUGUCUUGAAGAACCGAAAUACCGAGUCUGAUCGGGACAUCUCGGGAGAAGGUCUAUUCCUUCGUUGACCGUGAGAGCUUGUCAUGGGCUAAGUUGGGACUCCCCUGCAGGGAUUUGAACUUUCGAAAGUCGUGCCCGUGGUUAUGGGCAGAUGGGAAUUUGUUAAUGUCCGGUUGUAGAUAACUUGAACCUUAACUUAAUUAAAAUGAAUCAACCGAGUGUGUUGCCGUGAUGGCCUCUUCUCGGCGGAGUCCGGGAAGUGGACACGGUGUUGGAGUAAUGCUUGUGCAGGUUGUCCUCUAGUUUCUCGCUCGCGCUUUGCCUCCUCUUCUCGCUCUCUUUUGCGAAUAAGUUAGCCACCAUAUAUGCUAGUCGCUUGCUGCAGCUCCACAUAUAUUUACCUUACCCCUACCUAUUAAGCUUAAAUAGUCUUGAUCGCGAGGGUGCGAGAUUGCUGAGUCCCUAUGGCUCACAGUUUACUAUUACACCAGUUGCAGGUCCAGAUGAUUCCGCUCCAGGUGACGCGCUCGGGCUCAAGUGGGAGUUCGACGAGGACUCUCAAUGUUACUAUGUUUCUUUUCCUGAGGAUCAGUAGUGGUGCCCAGUUGGGGGUGAUCGGGACCAUGUCGCUUGUUGGGUUGUCUUUUAUUUUGGCGCCCUAGUCGGGCCAUGAGUGUUUGGAUGAUGUAUGUUAUUUAUGUACUUGAUUGACGUGGCGAGUGUAAGCCAACUAUGUUAUCCCUUUUAUUUAUCUAUAUUACAUGGGAUGUUUGUGAUGAUUGCCUGACUUGCGACAUAUGCCUUCAAUGCGAUUAUGCCUCUAAGUCGUGCCUUGACACGUGGGAGAUAUAGUCGCAUCGAGGGUGUUACAGCUGGCUCGUCGCAGAGGAGCCGGUGCUUGAGGAGGGUGCCCUCUUGGCACCUGGCAGUGAAGUACUCGAUGGCCUGCACCUCGUGCACGUCCUCGCAAGAGUUGCGCAGCUCGGCCCAGCGUGUGAGAUAGUCGCGAGUCGACUCAUUGGGGCCUUGGAUGCACUGGGAGAGCUGGUGAGGCUUGGGCAGCCGUUUAUAUGUGUUGGUGAAGUUGCAGAUGAACGCUUCAGUAAAGUCAACCUAGCCGUUGACGCUGCGGGGCUUCAGGCUGUUCAACCAUGUCCGGGCCGUGCCCUGGAGCAUGAGGGGGACAUACUUCACGGCAACGCGCUUGUUGCCGUUGGCGAUGCUGACGGAUGUGGAGUAGUCGACCAGCCAGUCCUCCGGCUUCUCGGAGCCGGUGUACUUGGGGGUAUCUCUUGGGAGAGUGAACCCUUUGGGAAAGGGCUCAUCUCGGAUGCGGGGGCCAAAACAAGGCGGACCCAGCUCGUCUUCCUCUUCUAGCACCAGGGACCGAUUAAGUCGGUCGAUCCGGUUGUGGACGUCGUUUUCUCCGAUUUCUUCUCGACGGCCAAAGCUGUCGCCGAGUUAUGGGUGGUCAACAGGCGGCAGCGAGAUGCGCCUCUCCCUGCGGGGAGGAGGCGACGGGCAGUCAUCUCGCCGUCGUACUGCUCUUGGGCGGCCGUCUUGGUCGCGCUCGAUGGUGAUGUGAGUCCGGCUGCGGCUGGCAGCCGGCUCCUUGUCUCUUACAUCAUGGACGCCACCAAUCGGCAUCCGGGACGUCGCGCCUUGGUCUCGGCGAGGUGGUGGGUCGUCAUUUCGCCGGUUGGGCGCUUCAGUGCGGCAACCGGCAUCUUGCUGCUCAGCAGCCGCGUCAAGGAGCUGCUGAACUCGCUCCGGCAUGUGGCGACACUCAUUGCCCUCGAGCUUGUCUAGCUCGUCUGCUGCCGGCUGGGCAGCUUGUAUAUUCUCUGCAGGCGUGGCAUAUACGGGACGGUCUGUCCCGAACAUGCUGGCGAUGGUCGCGCCGCACUGCCUGAUCAAGCCAAUGCGGCUAGGCCCACCAGGAACCGGAGUGCCGCCUAGAGCACGGUCCAUCUCCCACUGGUAGGCCUCCGAAAGGCGUCUCGUGCUGGCCAGCCGGCUGGCGCUCUUGACGAGCUGGACGCGGCGCGCUUCCAGCGUCUCGGCGUCGGCGUCCUCCGGGAUUGGUGCAACCAAGUCUUGCAUCACCGUCUGCAACGGGUCCUGACCGCCCCCGCCAGAGUGCUCACCGUGGCUGAUCAUGAGCACCUCCGUGAUGGUGCUGCCACCGCUGUCCGCGCGAGGAAGCGGCUCAUCGUAGACCACCACAUUGGAGGGGAACGUGUCGAGCGAACCAUGUCAGAGUCGACCAACAUCGGGUCGGUGGAGCCAACCGACUCCAAGUCAGUAGCAGGCUCGCUGGCGACGUGGAGCUGAUCGAGGAGGCCCACGAGACGGCCUUCGGGGCCAUCGGUGCCUGCGUCGGACGCAGGCUUGUCGGAGAGGCGAAUGUCGCCAACAAGAUCGGCGAGGCAGCUCGCUGCGCAGGCGAUCUCCGCACCGUGCAGCGCCUCGGCGCAGAGCCGUCCAUCGUGUCGGGUUGGCUGCGCUCGCCGGGAAGGAAAAGGGUUCCCGUCUAGAACAGGUCUCCGGGAGACGGUGCACCUCGCCCCACAGUGGGUGCCAAAUGUCGGGGGUUGGGUGCGACAUAUUCCAAAGGAUGGCAUGGUGGGAGAGAGUAGAACGUCACCGGUGCUUGGAAGGGGGAUGAGGCAUAGACACGAAUGCCGGCGUACUUUACCCAAGUUCGGGGCUCUCCUAGGAGAUAACACCCCUAGUCCUGAUCUGCGGGGUCUGCGCAUGAUCACUAAUGCGUAAGUGGUACAACGUUGCUCCUCGAGCUGUUUGGUAUAGGUGGAAGAAGGCAGGCACACUCUCUCCUCUAGAUAUGAGUCUAGUCCUAACAGGGGUCGAACCCUUUGCAUGGGUGCCCUGGGGGUUUAUAUAGGCCUACCCCCCAGGGGUACAAUGGUAAUCUGGCCGGGCGUAGGGCCCGGUCGUCAUUCUCUCUGGUCGCCGGCCUCUUGGCCGACAGCUGGGGCCUGCCGCCUGGUGGGCCCCGCCGCUUGGUCUGGUACAGAGCCGACAAGCCGCUCCCGCCGCUUGAGGGUCUUGCCGGCUGCUGAUCACUAUAGCCGUAACGCUAAUGAUGCAGGCUUGGUCGGGGAGGCGUGGCUACAGUCCCGCCGCCUGGUGGGCGAUCACCGUUGCCACUCCGUGUCUCAUCUGGUUGAUGGCGCAUGGGGCCCAAGGGAGGGAUUGGCCGCCUGCUGGUAGCCGGCUCCUCUGAGGUCCGGUUGUCCCAGCCUCCUCCGACUUCAGGGCUCUGGCUGCUAGGUAGGGCCCGCUGUCUACAACCCGUACCUGAUAGGCCUUCGUGGGAACAAGACUCCGCCUGUCAGGUGUGACGUGUGGGGGGAGAGGCAACAGUGCCGUGUCGUGCGGAGAUCUCCGCCUAUACGGGGCACUGUGGCCACGUCCGUCCCUGGAUUCAAGGGAAGGCUUGCACUAUAGUCGUACCCGUCUUGUCUCUUUGAUGAGGGCGCAGACUUUGAGGGUGCCAUGGGCCGACUGCUAGGAGCCAGCCUCUCUGGAGGCCGCUCUCUAGGAGUCGGCCCGUCAGGAUGCCGCCCUCUGGAACUCGGCCGCCCUCGACCAGUCGGCCGCUUGGCCAACCCGCCGCCAGAAGGCGGAGUCUUUAUCUUGACGUCUUUGAGAGGCGCAGCCGGCCCCUUUGUCUUGAAAGGCUCGGGGGCUCGGGUUAGGCUACCCGUGGCCCAUUACUCCGACACUUAUGGAAAAGAACUUGCAUGACAUCUUCUGUCCUACCCUCCCGUGGCAGCGGGGUCCUAAUGGAAACUAAGGGAUAUUAAGGCCUCCUUUUAAUAGAGUACCGGAAUAAAGCAUUAACACAUAGUGAAUACAUGAACUCCUCAAACUACGGUCAUCACCGGGAGUGGUCCUGACUAUUGUCACUUCGGGGUUGCUAGAUCAUAACACAUAGUAGGUGACUAUAGACUUGCAAGAUAGGAUCAAUGUCGGUGUCAAAACCGACGGAUCUCGGGUAGGGGGUCCCAAACUAUGCGUCUAGGCCGGAUGGUAACAGGAGGCAAGGGACACGAAGUUUUACCCAGGUUCGGGCCCUCUUGAUGGAGGUAAAACCCUACGUCCUGCUUGAUUAAUAUUGAAGAUAUGGGUGUUACAAGAGUAGAUCUACCACGAGAUCAGAGAGGCUAACCCCUAGAAGCUAGCCUACGGUAUGAUUGUAUGUUGUGAUUGUUGUCCUACGGACUAAAACCCUCCGGUUUAUAUAGACACCGGAGAGGGUUAGGGUUACACAAGGUCGGUUACAAAGGAGGAGAUAUCCAUAUACGUAUUGCCUAGCUUGCCUUCCACGCCAAGUAGAGUCCCAUCCGGACACGGGACGAAGUCUUCAAUCUUGUAUCUUCAUAGUCUAAUAGUCCGGCCAAUGGAGAUAGUCCGGCUGUCCGGAGACCCCCUAAUCCAGGACUCCCUCAGUAGCCCCCGAACCAGGCUUCAAUGACGAUGAGUCCGGCGCGCAGUUGUCUUCGGCAUUGCAAGGCGGGUUCCUUCUCCAAAUUCUGUGUACCUGUCGAAAUAAUGUCCGGUUCCUCGUGAUGGUUUGUAUUUCUUGGCUUCCACGCCCAAUAAUGGCCACUUUCCACAUGUCGAGCGAAUGUGAAGAGCCAGGGUGUUUUCACAUUUACCCCCUAGCUAUGCAAAUGAGCCGCCUAUUUAAAAAGACGAGGAUUCAAAUCCAAAUCACAUCAUCCUCCCUUGCCGAGUCUUCAUCAGAGCGUACCCGACAAAGAUCCAUUCCACCAUGGCCGGUCGUCGCAACUCCUCCUCUCGCACCCCUAGCUCCAAGCCUGGAGAUUGGGAGAGAUGUUCCAUCCCGCAUAGCAAAUUGGUGAUGCUUCAGUCCAAGGGAUUUCUUCCCCCAGCGUACCUGGUCCCCGUUCGAGCCGGGCUUGCCACCUAUAAUGGCGGAGAGCAAGCGGAGAGCCGUCCCAAUCCCUCCAAGGGAGAUUGGGUGUGCCUUGUCCCUUAUCUGGUAAGAGGGCUCGGAUUCCCAAUCCAUCCGUUUCUCCGAGGGUUUCUAGAGUUCUAUGGCCUCCAGCUACACAACCUCACGCCUGCUUCUCUGGUGCAUAUCGCGGGAUUCGUAGCCCUUUGCGAGUUAUUUUUGGGCUGUGAGGCUCAUUUCGCUCUGUGGAAGAAGCUGUUCUGUCUGGUGCCCCGUUCUAAGAAGGGAUCAAUAUAUCAAAUGGGCGGAGCCAAAGUGUGGCGUAUCGCCGGGACCAGAUACCUAUCCGGGACCCCAAAGAAGACAUCUGAAGACUGGCCUUCAGAAUGGUUUUAUAUAGAAGAUGUCCCCCUUCCGGACCCUAAUUGGAUCGGCCUUCCAGAGUUUGACAACGCCCCUUUGAAGAAGCGUCAGAGAUGGCGUCCACGAAGCCCCCUGGAGGAAGAUGACCGGGACAUUCUUUAUUUGAUGAGCCGGAUAAGCUCUUUAGCUCGAUCCGGAUUGACCAUGAUCGAGGUCAUGGCUAUAUGCAUUAUGCGGGGGGUGCAGCCGCUCCAGUAUAGAGGCCACCCCAUGUGGGAUUUCAACGGGGAGGAUGACGCCACCCGCCACGGCCACAAAGGGCCGGGAUCAGCUGCUGAUCUAAUAAAGAUCUUAUCCACUUUGUACAAGGGAGAAGAGGAGGAAUUCCUCCGUGUCAACCCGCAGGGCGGAUUCUCCAUGUACAAUCCUCCGAGCUGGGUAAGUGGAGAUUUUUCUCGCCCAUCCGUUUUGUAUUCCCGUAGUUUAAGUAUUCAUUCUAGCGAUUUCAUCGCAGGAGCUCGCCAGGCAGUAAAGGAGAUAAACAGCCCUCCCCCACAGCCCGAGGACCCUGGACGGUCCCUUGACCCAGCCUCCCAGGAGGAUCCGGACAUAUCCGUGGAGCUGAUCGACGGGGUAUUUUACCAAGGGAGUAAUGACAAUACCUUGGUGGCCAUUACGGCCGAUUACCCUAGGCUAGUUCCAGCCUCACAGGUGAUUGAGACCGAAAUCCCAGCACUUAAAAAGGGAUCCGUCCUUGUGCUCUUUUUAUUGCCGUAUAACAGUCGUGUUUUGCAGGGGAGGUCCUCGGGGCAGAAGGCCGAGCCCGUGGCAACUGGCCAACAAGGGGCCGCUAGGCCAGGAAGACUGAAAAGAUCCGUAGUCCGGAUUGAGGCACCGGCGCAGCGGUAUGGCGCACCGUUUUUAUUACAAGACAUAAUUUACAGAGGCAUACUAACACCCGUGCCUUCUUUUCAUGAAAAAGAGCGCUCGCCAGACUACACCCGGAGAGGCUACCAAUCGCGCCUCCACAAGCCGGGCUCCAAGGCUAGACUCAGAGGUGGGAACGAGUACAAGGUGUGCGCCGGUUUCUCCUCCGACAGAGGAUACGGAUAGACUGUCCGCCACCCAUUCCGAGGUGGAAUGUGCCAUGAACCACAGGCGUCGCCGGACUGUUCUUCAUGACACUUGUUUCUCCCCAGAGGCAUUGGAUGCCUUCAACUCGGGAGACGCGCACCUCCGUGCCGCUCAAGAUGGUCUAGCCAAAGCCAUGGAGCAGUAUGUAAAAGACAUACGGGUGAGAAAAUUUGAUGAUUAUAUAUAUCAGUAGCCCCUGAGACUUGAAACAGUUAGGAUAACUGAUUUAAGGAUCAUUUGUUAUGUAGGUUCUUACAUAAAAUAAUACUCAACUGUCCCAGGAGCUGGAAGAGUGCAAAGCCCAACUUCAGGCCGCACUGUCCGCCGCAGGGGAGCCCAAAGAGACCCCCGCUGGUAACAUAUCCGUCAAGUGAUAAGUAUCAUAUUAGAGUGCGGCUUUAUAUGCAAAUCUAACAAAAAAUUGCAGAUGACGCUGGAGUGAAUCUGGAUAAGCAACGGCUCAAACGCCAGCUGAAGGCUGGUGAGAACGUGCUUACAAGGGUGAGGCAGGAGAAGAAUGAUCUCCAAGAUGCCAACACCAAGCUGGGCGUGGAACUGAAAGAUGUUCGUGCCCAACUGUCGGACUCUGUUAAGGAGAAUCGACGGCUUCGGCGCGACAUAUUUAGUAAGUGCUUGAACGAACUUAAAAAGAGUUCGGCGGGGAAGCUGACUGAUAGAGUUAUGUCUGUAGGUAUGUUAACAGGUCGUCCUGCCGAGGAGAUGCCUAGUUCGACGGGUGAUCUUCUUCCCGAGCUCGCACAAUUGCACGAACGAGUUCGGCAGGUGAUGCGAGGCGUUGCCCAGGCCUUGUGGCCGUCCGUCUCCAUACCCGAAGGCCUUGGAGAGCUUGCAGAAAAGCUGAAGGGCGCACGGCGACGCUUCCGAUUAUGGAAGAUAUCGACCUGCCGUCAGGGCGCCAGGGAAGCUUGGGUGAUGGUGAAGACACGAUACAUGAAGGCUGACCCGAACCACAUGGCCGAAGUCGGACCUGUGGGGCCUGAUGGCAAGGAGAUCCCUAUAAAUUUAGUGUACGGCCAAGUAGAAUUGGCCGCAAAGUAUUCCCAACAGGACUGUAGACUAGACAGCCUAUUGGAUGGCAUUGAAGAGGAAUUCAACCAGUCAAAUUGACUAUGUAAUUGUAAAGUGACAUAUAUGAUGCCUUCUAGCCGGAUUGUAGAUCGUUUGUCGUGGCAGACCUUUUCGCUUCAACCUCGGGACCCGACAGUCCGGAGUGUAUCCGAAUACCCUCUCGGUUAUAUAAGAACCGGGGCAUGCGUGGAGACUAGGCGUAGGGGUCAUUAGUGCUUUAUCAGACAAGUGCCCAACUAGUUAUGUUAUAUUACAUGGGUAGUAAGAAACAUCUUCCAGAGAGAAUAGUUCCGUUAAGGGUUCCUUUCCCUGGGUAGGCAUGCCCUAAAGUGCAUGUCCGGACUGCGACAAGAAGCGCAGUAAAAACGUCUGGGGGCAGAUAUGGUUAAUAAAUAAAAGUCAUCUUUUGUUCACCGACCGAAUAUUCUCUUAAGAAUGCUAGCUUUUGGCUUCACCCAGUCUGAGGUACAUGUCUGGCUGACCCGGCGGUAACAAUCGCAGAGGUGCUCCCCUUAUGCCCUAGCCGAAUUAACGGGAAUGUAGGGCAUAAAUACAAGAGCCAGGCAACCCAGCUUGGCCAAAACUUAAGUCAUAUCGAUGCAUAUAAUGGUGAAAAAAGGUACAUGUGGAAGUAUAACGCAUGUGUUGGGCGUGAUGCCCAGGUAAAUAAUUUAAGCUUCUAUGAAAGAAGCCCCCAGGUGUAGAUAGUGCGGCUAGCACCUCUGUAGUGUACAAGUGAGGCACAAGGUGACCCUUGAAGACCUAGAGGAAUAAAAGAAAGAAAGGGAAACAAGACAGACGACGCAUAUGCAGAAAAUGGACAAAGGGACGGGACUAACAUAAAGUCCAGUGCUAGGCGUAGAAUCUUUGGAGCCUGGCUGCGUUCCAUGGGUUCGGCUCGAGUCGACUAGUCGAUGCAUCCCGCAGUCGGUACGCUCCGCCGGUCAGAACUUGGUCGAUGAUGAAGGGACCUUCCCAUUUGGGCUCUAGCUUGUUCUUUUUCUUAUCCGGCAGCCGGAGAACUAGUUCACCAACGUUAUAAGUUUUGGCUCGUACUUCUCUACUUUGGUAUCUGCGGGCCUGUUGCUGGUAAAAUGCGGAACGGGCUUUGGCUACGUCGCGCUCUUCCUCCAAGGUGUCCAGACUGUCCUGUCGAUCGAGCUCGGCUUCUCUUUCUUUGUACAUGUGCACUCGAGGUGAGUCAUGAAUUAUGUCACAGGGCAGGACUGCCUCUGCGCUGUACACCAUAAAAAUGGUGUGUAUCCGGUACUACGAUUCGGUGUGGUCCACGGCCCCCAGAUUACGGAGUCGAGCUCCUCUACCCAGUGCGUGUCAGACUCUGUUAAGGAGUGCACUAGUCUGGGUUUAAUGCCGCUCAUUAUAAGACAAUUUGCUCGUUCAACCUGACCAUUGGUUUGUGGAUGGUAGACUGAAGCAUAGUCGAGCUUGAUGCCCAUUUUGCUGCACCAGAGUUUUACCUCGUCGGCCGUGAAGUUCGUGCCGUUAUCAAUGAUGAUGCCGUGGGGGAUGCCGUAGCGAUGUACAACCCCGGAUAUGAAAUCUAUCACCGGUCAAGAUUCGGCUAUUUUAACCGGUUUGGCCUCUAUCCAUUUGGUGAAUUUAUCCACCAUGACCAAUAAGUAUUUUUUCUUGUGGGUUCCACCAUUAAGGGGUCCAACCAUGUCAAGCCCCCAGACCGCAAAGGGCCAUGUAAUGGGGAUUGUUCGGAGGGCGGUGGGUGGCAUAUGGCUUUGAUUUGCAAAGAGCUGGCAACCGGCGCAACGCUGGACUAAGUCCUAUGCGUCUGCCCGGGCCGUUGGCCAAUAGAAUCCUGUACGGAAGGCCUUUCUCACAAGAGCCCGGGCUGUGGCGUGAUGACCGCCGAGUCCGGCAUAAAUUUCUGCCAAAAGGUUCCGUCCUUCCUCUUCGGAGAUGCACCGUUGAAGGACUCCGGUAGUGCCUUUCUUGUACAAUUCUCCCUCGUGGACCCUGUAGGCCUUUGAUCGCCGCACUAUGCAGCGUGCCUCAUUUUGGUCCUCCGGGAGUUCCUUUCUAGUUAAGUAGGCCAGGAAUGGUUCUGUCCACGGGGCAAUAAUAGCCAUUAUUUCGUGGGUUGAUUGUGUUAUUUCGGUGGCGGAGCCUCCGAUUGUGUCAGAGAGUUCGGUAUCGGGUAUUUUGGCCGGGUCCGGACUGUUGUUACCGGUGUCCCCUUCCCAUGCUACGCAUGGCUUGAAAAGCCUUUACAGAAAAAUGUUGGGAGGGACCGCGUCGCGAUUUGUGCCAAUGCGGGCGAGGAUAUCCGCCGCCUGAUUGUUUUCCUGAGCAACAUGGUGAAAUUCGAGCCCCUCGAACCGGGCUGACAUUUUUAGGACGACAUUGCGAUAAGCGGCCAUUUUUGGAUCCUUGGCAUCAAAGUCUCCAUUUAUUUGGGAUCCUGCAAGGUUUGAAUCCCCGCGCACCUCUAGGCGUUGAAUGCCCAUGGAUACUGCCAUCCGGAGACCAUGUAGAAGGGCCUCGUAUUCGGCUGCAUUGUUGGAGUCCGUAUACAUUAUCUGUAGUACGUAUUGAACUGUGUCUCCUGUUGGGGACGUCAAAACAAUGCCGGCCCCCAGACCAGCCAACAUUUUGGAGCCGUCGAAGUGCAUGAUCCAGUUUGAAUAUGUGCCGUACUCUUUAGGGAGUUCGGCUUCCGUCCAUUCAGCGACGAAGUCAGCCAAAACUUGCGAUUUAAUAGCUCGCCGUGGCUUGUAAUUUAUGUCGAACAGGAGGAGCUGAAUGGCCCAUUUGGCAAUCCGACCUGUCGCGUCAUGGUUGUUUAUAUUAUCGUUAAGUGGUACUUCCGAGGCUACCGUUAUCGAACACCCUUGAAAGUAGUGUCGCAGCUUCCUGGAUGCCAUAAAUACCGCAUACGCUAUCUUUUGAUAAUGCGGGUACCGCGAUUUGCAUGGAGUAAGGACAGUGGACACGUAGUAAACCAGCUUUUGAAUGGGAAAUUUGUGUCCGUCCACUUCUCGCUCGACGACAAGCACUGCGCUUACCACUUGAUGAGUUGCCGCAAUGUAUAAUAGCACUGGUUCGCCAAUGUUUGGCGUGGCCAGGACUGGGUUUGUUGCCAACAUGGCUUUUAUUUUGUUGAGACCGGCCGUGGCGGCGUCCGUCCACUCAAAGUGUUCGGUACGCCGAAGGAGGCGAUAAAGGGGUAAUGCCUUUUCUCCCAAGCGGGAGAUAAAGCGGCUUAGAGCCGCCACGCAUCCAGUUAGUUUUUGUAUUUGUUUGAGGUCUAUUGGGGUAGCCAACUGUGACAACGCUCGGAUUUUGGCCGGAUUAGCUUCAAUACCUCUACUGGAGACAAUGAAUCCCAGGAGCUUUCCUGUUGGUACGCCGAAGACGCAUUUUUCCGGAUUGAGCUUGAUGUCAUAUGUUCGGAGGUUGUCGAAUGUGAGCCUCAAGUCGUCUACUAAAGUUUCGACAUGCUUAGUUUUAAUGACCACGCCAUCCACGUAUGCCUCCACUGUUUUGCCGAUCUGGUUUGCCAGGCAUGUCUAAAUCAUGCGUUGAUAUGUUGCACCAGCAUUUUUUAGCCCGAAGGGCAUUGUGUUGAAGCAGAAUGGGCCGUAUGGUGUGAUGAAUGCCGUUGCGGCUUGGUCUGGCUCUACCAUUUUGAUUUGGUGGUAGCCGGAGUAUGCGUCGAGGAAACAAGCGCCAGGAUUCGUCCUUCUUUGGUACCAUCACCAAGUUUGCUAGCCAGUCCGGAUGUUUUAUGUCUCUGAUGAAUCCGGCCUCCAAUAGCUUGGCUAGUUCCUCUCCCAUGGCUUGUCUUUUAGGCUCAGAGAAACGUCGAAGAGCCUGCUUGACUGGCUUGAACCCUUUUAUGAUAUUUAGGCUGUGUUCAGCCAGCCCGCGUGGGAUUCCUGGCAUGUCUGAAGGAUGCCAGGCAAAAAUAUCCCAGUUCUCGCGUAGGAACUCUCGUAGUGCGGCGUCAACAUCAGGGUUUAAUUGUGCCCCGAUGGAAGCUGUUUUUGUAGGGUCCGUUGGAUGGACUUGGUAUUUGACUAUUUCGUCCGCCAGCUUAAAGGAGGUGGACUUGGAUCUUUUAUCGAGUAUCACGUCGUCCCUGUUUACCGUGGAGCGCAAUGCGGUUAGUUCUUCGGCCGCUAGGGCUUCGGAUAGUGCCUCAAGGGCCAGUGCAACUAUCUUAUUUUCGGCGCGGAGAGCUAUGUCCGGAUCACUAACAAGAGUGAUGAUUCCGUUGGGCCCGGGCAUUUUGAGCUUCAUGUACCCGUAAUGGGGUACGGCUUGGAAGAUUGUGAACGCCUCCCGCCCUAAUAGAGCGUGGUAUCCACUGCUGAAUGGGGCCACUUGGAAUGUAAUUUCUUCGGACCUGUAAUUAUCCGGUGUGCCGAAUACCACGUCUAGUGUGAUUUUUCCGGCGCAGCGUGCUUCCCGACUAGGGAUGAUUCCUCUAAAGGUUAUGCUGCUUUGCUUAAUGCGACUCUAGUCUAUUUCCAUCUUUUGAAGAGUUUCCUCGUACAUGAGGUUUAAUCCGCUGCCGCCGUCCAUGAGUACCUUGGUGAGUCGAAAGCCGUCCAUGAUUGGACUGAGGACCAGUGUGGCUGGUACUCGGGUUGUUCGGAAUUUAGUUUCAUCACUGGCAUUGAAGGUAAUAGCCGUGUCGCUCCAAGGAUUUGUUUUUGCUAUGUGGCAGAUUUCGGACGUGCCGCGGAGUGUUCGCUUCCGUCUUUUAUUUGACGCAAAGGUCUCGAAGACCGUUAAGACCGUACUGUUAUCCUCGGGGUGGUGUUCUUUGGUUUUUGGGAGGAGUAGAUCCUCACCACUUUUGGCCACCUGGCGGAGUAUCCAGCAUGCUCUAAGGCUGUGCGUUGGUAUCGCAUCUGCUGUACUAUGAAUUUUGCAGGGUCCGUUGAGCCAUCCCUCCAGUACGGUUCCUUGCCCCGUAGAGGGCUUUUGCUUUUUGGUAGUUAACCUAGGUGUAUUUUGAUAAUGCACCCUUUUAUUUUGGAUUGGGUUUGUAUUCAGGGCCGGGUUAUCCCAAAAUUUUAUUUUGGUUUUCCACGCGCUUUCCAUCGCACAGUACUUUCGCACUAUGGACACCAAGUCGGAAAAGCGUGUAAUUUCGCGACGACUUAUGGCGUUGAGGAUUCCCUUGUCCGUGCAAUUAUUGCAGAAGAAUGAAAAUGCGUCUUCCUCGCGGCAGUCCUUUAUCGUGUUCUUGAUCAGGAGGAAUCUGGCCCAGUAAUGGUGUACUGUUUCUUCGGGCUCUUGCCUAAUUUGGGAUCGAUCGCGUACGUUUGGGUGGGUGGGUGGUAUUGAAUCCGAAUCCUCACCCGAUCUAAGGCUCAGUGGCCAAGGAGUUUCCGAACUCCAAAGCUUGGAUUCUUGAACGUUUUCUGGUAAAUCUAGCCCGCUGCCUGAUUCUGGGUUCAGGCUUUGAGUGACGUCCUCCCCUCCGCGGGUAUCCCGUUUGGGGGGAUCAGGAAUCCGGAUGUAGCUAGUCCUUAAGAUAGAUGGAGUUUUGCCGCAUUGUUCUUCCACCACUACAACGUGGUGGGUGACCUGGGGAGACUUAAUUUCUCUUAGAUCUGGUUUAGGCCCAAUCUGAUCGUAGUCUGUAGCGACUCCCAGGGCGGUGAUACGAUCCAAGAGCUCGUUCAGGGAAGAGAGAUCCAUUGGAUAUAAAUGUUCGGCGAGUUUCGAGUUGAUGUGAAGAUUGCUUUUGAUGACCCGAGAAGUCAUCAUCGGCGCAGCGGCUGAACAGGCGGUCAUAAGAAAACCACCUAGCCGAAGAGUUUGGCCGAUAGCCAGAGCUCCCUCAGCGAUAGUGCUGUCUUUAAAGACGGGACGAGACAUCCUUCCUUGUGGCGACGGCACAGCGGAACUCUCAAUGAAAGCACCAAUGUUGGUGUCAAAACCGGCGGAUCUCGGGUAGGGGGUCCCGGACUGUGUGUCUAGGUCGGAUGGUAGGAGGCAAGGGACACGAAGUUUUACCCAGGUUUGGGCCCUCUUGAUGGAGGUAAAACCCUAUGUCCUGCUUGAUUAAUAUUGAAGAUAUGGGUGUUACAAGAGUAGAUCUACCACGAGAUCAGAGAGGCUAAACCCUAGAAGCUAGCCUACGGUAUGAUUGUAUGUUGUGAUUGUUGUCCUACGGACUAAAACCCUUCGGUUUAUAUAGACACCGGAGAGGGUUAGGGUUACACAAGGUCGGUUACAAAGGAGGAGAUAUCCAUAUACGUAUUUCCUAGCUUGCCUUCCAUGCCAAGUAGAGUCCCAUCCGGACACGAGACGAAGUCUUCAAUCUUGUAUCUUCAUAGUCUAACAGUCCGGCCAAUGGAGAUAGUCUGGCUAUCCGGAGACCCCCUAAUCCAGGACUCCCUCAAUCAAGAACUCUCAUAUAUUAAUGAAAACAUAAUAGGUUCAGAUCUGAAAUCAUGGCACUCGGGCCCUAGUGAUAAGCAUUAAGCAUAGCAAAGUCAUAGCAACAUCAAUCUCAGAACAUAGUGGAUACUAGGGAUCAAACCCUAACAAAACUAACUCGAUUACAUGAUAAAUCUCAUCCAACCCAUCACCGUCCAGCAAGCCUACGAUGGAAUUACUCAUGCACGGCGGUGAGCAUCAUGAAACUGGUGAUGGAGGAAGGUUGAUGAUGACGAUGGCGACGGAUUCCCCUCUCCGGACCCCCGAAUGGACCAAAUCAGCCCUCCCGAGAGAGUUUAGGGCCUGGCGGUGGCUCCGUAUCGUAAAACGCGUUGAAUCCUUCUCUUUGGUUUUUUUCUCCCCGAAAGUGAAUAUAUGGAGUCAGGGCUGAGGUCAGUGGAGCGUCAGGGGGGCCACGAUGCAGGGAGCGUGCCCAGGGGGGUAGGGCACGCCCCCACCCUCGUCGACAGGUGGAGCCCCCCGUGACGUGGAUCUUCCUUCCAGUAUUUUUUAUAUAUUCCAAAAUAAUUCUCUGUUGAUUUUCAGGUCAUUCCAAGAACUUUUAUUUCUGCACAUAAAUGACACCAUGGCAAUUCUGCUGAAAAUAGCGUCAAUCCAGGUUAGUUCCAUUCAAAAUCAUGCAAGUUAGAGUCCAAAACAAGGGCAAAAGUGUUUGGAAAAGUAGAUACGAUGGAGACGUGUCACAUAGCCACUGCCACAAACCCUAGUCUUUUCGGUCCUACCGAUAGGGAUCUCAGUCUCACCGAGAUGGGAUUGUAAUCUCUCUGUUUCCCUUCGUAAAGUUUCGGUCCAAUCGAGAUAAGCGAUCGGUCCCACCGAGAUUGCAAUGCAAAUUCUCUCUUUCCUUUUCGUAAUGUUUCGCUCCUACCGAGAGAGCGAAUCGAUCCCACUGAGAUUUCCUGACCAACUCUCUGGUUAGUCUAUUAACAAAAUCGGUCUCACCAUGUUUGUGUAAUCGGUCUCACCGAGAUUACGUUAUGCCCUAACCCUAAUGAUAUCGGUCCCACCGAGUUGACAUGUCGGUCCCAUCGAAAACCCUAAUGGUCACAUUAUGAACUAAAUCGGUCUGACCGAGUUGUAUCAUUCGGUCCCACCGAGUUUGGUGGUUUGUGUGUAACGGUUAGAUUUUGUGUGGAGGCUAUAUAUAACCCUCCACCCACUCUUCAUUCGGAAGAGAGCCAUCAGAACAUGCCUACACUUCCAACAUACAUUUUCUGAUAGAGAACCACCUACACAUGUGUUGAGGUCAAGAUACUUCAUUCCAACCACAUAAAUCUUGAUCUCUAGCCUUCCCCAAGUUGCUUUCCACUCAAAUCAUCUUUCCACCAAAUCCUAUCCUAUGAGAGAGAGUUAAGUGUUGGGGAUACUAUCAUUUGAAGCAUAAGAGCAAGGAGUUCAUCAUCAAAACACCAUUUGUUACCUCUUAGAGAGUGGUGUCUCCUAGAUUGGUUAGGUGUCACUUGGGAGCCUCCGUCAAGAUUGUGGAGUUGAACCAAGGAGUUUGUACGGGCAAGGAGAUCGCCUACUUCUUGAAGAUCUACCCUAGUGAGGCAAGUCCUUCGUGGCGAUGGCCAUGGUAGGAUAGACAAGGUUGCUUCUUCGUGGACCCUUCAUGGGUGGAGCCCUCCGUGGACUCGCGCAACCGUUACCCUUCGUGGGUUGAAGUCUCCAUCAACAUGGAUGUACGAUAGCACCACCUAUCGGAACCACACCAAAAAUCUCCGUGUCUACAUUGCGUUUGCUCCCUCCAAACUCCUCCCUUUACCUUCAUAUGCAAUUGUUUUACAUUCCGCUGCUAUACUCUUAGAAUUGCAUGUGUAGGUUGUUUGCUUGACUUGUGCUAAGUUGCUAAAAUCUGCCAAGAAUUAAAAUUGGGAAAAGGCUAGAUUUUUAUUUUGUCAAGUAGUCUAAUCACCCCCCCCCCCCUCUAGACAUACUUUCGAUCCUACAAGUGGUAUCAGAGCUUUGGUCUCCAUUUGCAUUUAUUUCCAUAGCUUUGGUGAUCAUAGCCUUGGUUUCACAACCUAGGAGAGUAUGUCGUCUAGUGAGGGAAAUUACCACCGUAGAGGUCCUUAUUUUGGUGGUACUAAUUUUCCUAGUUGGAAGCAUAAGAUGAAAAUGCAUAUUCUUGGACAUAACCCUGCCGUUUGGGCUAUUGUGUGUAUUGGCUUGCAAGGUGAAUUAUUUGAUGGGAGUGAACCGAACCGUGAGGCUAGCGCGGAAGAGUUGAAGAUGUUGCAAUACAAUGCUCAAGCUUGUGAUAUUCUCUUCAACGUAUUGUGCCCCGAAGAAUUCAACAAAAUCAGUCGUCUAGAGAAUGCAAAGGAAAUUUGGGAUACUUUGAUUGAUAUGCACGAAGGUAUCGACUCCGUCAAGGAAUCCAAAUUGGAUGUGCUUCAAAGUCAACUUGACAAGUUCAAAAUGAAGGAUGGUGAAGGUGUUGCUGAAAUGUACUCUAGGCAUGCUCUCAUCACAAAUGAGAUUGACGGCUUAGGAAGUGAAGAAAUGACCGAUAGAUUCAUCAUCAAGAAGAUCCUAAGAGCCUUGGAUGGAAAAUAUGAUACCGUGUGCACAUUGAUCCAAAUGAUGCCCAAUUACAAAGAUCUCAAGCCAACGGAAGUCAUUGGAAGGAUUGUUGCUCAUGAGAUGUCACUCGAGGAUAAGGAAGAGCUUCAUAACAAGUCAAGUGGUGCUUACAAAGCCUCAUGUGAUGCUCCCACAUCAUCAAGUGAGAAACAAAACUUCAAUGAAGAAUUGAGCCUAAUGGUGAAGAACUUCAACAAGUUCUACAAGAGUAGAAGCAAGGAAAGAAGUUCCAAGUCAAGGUCCUACAAUGACAAAAGAUCUUCAAGCCGUGAACGUAAUUGCUACAAUUGUGGAAGACCCGGACACUACUUCAAUGAGUGUACGGCUCCCUACAAAAGAAGAGAAGGUUCUCCCAAAAGAAGGAGUGGGAGAGAAGAAUCACCACCAAGAGAGAGAAGGAGUAGAGAUGACCGUUAUGAACAAAGAACAUCAUGGAGAAGCAAGGAUUCAGAAAGGAAGGACAAAUCAUCAAGGGGCUACACAAAACGAAGACAUCAAGCUCACAUUGGUGAAUGGUAUCCGGCUCCUACUCCGACGAUCACUCCGAGAGAAGUUAUCACUCCGACUCCAAAUAUACUCAAGAUGAAGGUGUUGCCGGUCUAGCACUUGUGUCAACCAACUCCUAUGACAUAUUUGAGUCACCAAUUGAAGGAAUUGGAAGAUGCUUCAUGGCAAAAGGCCCAAAGGUAUCACACCCCGAGUAUGUUGAUUUCAAUAGUGAUGAAGAUGACUUGCUAGGUGAUGAUGAUUUACUUGUUGACAAUUCUAGUGAUGAAAACUAUGAUGAACUUGCUAUUAAUCAUGCUAAUCAAGACAAAAUGAAUGACGAUGAUAAGAAGGAUAUUGAGCGUCUAACUAAAGAGCUAAACACUCUUAAGUUAGCUCAUGAAACUACCUUGGAAAAUCAUCGAGAGCUUCUAAAGACUCAUGAGAAGUUACGCUUCGAAAAGCUCAACCUCGAGCAAGAGCAUGGGUUCUUAAAAGAGAUCAAUGAUGAUCUUCGCAAGAAAAGUUCUUCUUACAUUGCCAAGCGUUUACUUUUGUCUACUUACAUGCCACAAGUUAAAUCUAGCAACAAGAGUAAGAAAGAUUCUUCUUCUAGUAGUAACAAUAAUCAUGCUAAACCCAAUGAUGUUGCUUCUAGUAGUUCUCUUGAUUCCACUAAUGAUUCUCUUAGCCAAGUUACACUUGAGCAAGAAAAUAGCUUAUUGAAGGGAAUUAUAGAGAAAGGUGUUUACAAGAGCCUUGCCGGAAGUAAGCAAUUUUAGGAAAUUGUACGCAAGCAAGGAAGACACCGGAAGAAUCAAGGUGUUGGUUUUGAACGAAAGUUCAAUGCCAAUGGAGUUGAGUGGGAAGAAGAUCAAUACCCCAAGAUGAAAUUUGUUCCUCAACAAGAGAAGUAUGAUCCUACUUCUUUCCAAGGAACACAAGCUCAAGAUGAUCUUCCACCACAAGACCACAAGCAAAAAGGCAAGGACAAGCUUCAAGAGGAGAUUGAUGAAUUUGAAGAAGCUCCCAAAGCCUUGGUCAAGUGGGUUCCCAAGACUACAUCAAAUUCAACUUCAUCAAGUACGACUACAACUCCAAGGAUUCCCAUCAAGAUGGUGUGGAUCCCAAAGAAGAAGAACUAGAGAGUUCUUGAGUGUGACUCUGCCAACACACUUCACUCAUAUCAUUUUGGCGAGGACAAGUGCAAACAACCUCCAUAUCUUGCACUAGUUCAAGGAGUCACAAACCCUCUUGGUGGUAAGACAAGGGACAAGGUAACCUAAUGCAUUCAUGGACAUCAUCUCAUGUGAAUAUCACUCUAUGUCUAUGGAUAUCCUUGUUUGUUCCUUGUGGGACUAACCCGUGUAGGUAUUGAAAGUGCAACUCACUCCAAAGGAUUCCUCCAAAGGAUCUACAUCAACAUUGAGCAUCUACAUAUUCAACACCUACAUGAAGUCAUCAUAGACAAAACCCAAGGUUAGUUCAUCCCUCUUAGGGGGGGAUAUCACAUCUAGGGGAGCUCUACUCUAAUCAAUUGAGCUAAAGCAACUCUAAUGGUGUGAACACAACAAUACUUUAUGUAAAAGUGGCAACCCCACUUGUGCUUAAACGAUGAGUAUGACCUUGAUCAAAUUUUCUCAUUUGACUCCUAAAUCAAUAUACUCAUAUAUAGAUGAACUAGUCAUCGCCAAAUUGCUUGAUAGAUGCUAGAGUGAUUGUGCAUGCUUUGUCACAUAUUUCAUUUGCCAUCUUAUUAUGUGAGCAUGUUGGUUGCAUAUUUUACUCAUUCGAGGAUAUCCAUUUGUUGCUUUAAUUGUUUGGCUUUUUCUCUUUUGCCAAAUGGAUGGACAAGAAUGCCUAAGAAAUCCCUCUAGCUAUCUAUGCUUUUUCUCAUCUCAAACUCUAUUCAUGCUACAUCACAAAGUUUGAGCAAGUCAGAUUCGAACCACUCUGUGUGAGGAGCACUUGGAGUCCCCGAUUCAUUAUAGACUUAAAUUUCCAAAACCUCUUUGUGCAUUUCGGUAUGACCGAGUCAUCCACUUCGGUCACACCGAGAUCACUAAGUUGAUCUAGGUUUUCAAUCUCGGUGCAACCGAUUAGAACUUUUCGGUCACACCGAGUUGCAGUAACCGCUUGCAGUUCUGCAUCUUGGUGCCACCGAGUUGUUCCACUCGGUCACACCGAUAGGUUCAGGUUAUAUAUACCGACGGGUCAAAUUAUGAAUUUUUUUCCAAAACCUUUCACCCGCGCGUGACCUGCUCUGCCUCCUCAGGUCUCCGGAUCGUCCUCUCGCCGCCAGCGACCUCCCGCCGUUGGUCUCCGCCGCCGUCAACGGCAAUCUGCCCCGCCGUUGCGGCCGUAGCAAGUUCACCGCCGAAGUAGGGUAUGAACUUGAUCUUUGUGCUAUUCCUUAACUCUGAUUCAUCGCACAUUGCUUUGCCAUGAAUCUUGUCACAUAUGAAAUUAUCCCGUCCAGCAAAAGCAUCUCAUAGAUUAGGUUUGAUUUGAAAAUUUAGGGUUAGGUCUCCGCCAGACUCAUCUUGGACCGACCAAAUUGUAGAAAUCGGUCUCACCGAUUUGGCUUAGGCCAUUGCAGUUGCACUUUCGGUCUGACCGAAAACUGCAAAUCGGUGUGACCGAGUUCGAUUCUUUGUGAAAACCUAGCAGUCUCGGUGCCACUGAACUGUGACUCGGUCUGACCGAGUUCACUAGUUUAGGUUCCAAAAGCUGCUUCGGUAUCACCGAGUUUACAAAUCGGUAGCUCCGAAAUGCUUUCUGUGAAGAACUAAAACUAAGUUUUAAGUCAUUAUUUUUGCAAAAACUCUGCACUUUGUGAUUCUCAUCUACUCUACCUCAUCUACAACCUAUUCACAGGGUCUGCUGACAGUUUGCUUGCAAGAUGUCUGAUCAAAGUGACAGCCAGAACAAGUCUGAGGAGCAGGUUCAUAUGAGUGAGGGCACUAGUCCCUCUAGCACUUCUGAUGAGGGCAGCAGGAGCACACCAAGCAACUUGCCCAAGGCAGCCACCAGAACAAGGAAGAAGAAGACCUCAGAUUCCGAAGAUGAGGAUUAUGUGGCUGUUGAGGAGGAAGUCAGCUCCAAGAAGAAGGUGCUGAAGAAGGAGUAUGGCACAGUUGCAUCAACUAAGCCUGGCUUGCACAAAAAGGCCCCUGCCAAGAGGGUGCCAACCUUAAAAGUUAGAGCCUCAACUGCUUAAACCUCCAAGCCAACUGGAGAGGUUGCUGGAGAAGGAAAGAAGAGAAAAGAAAGGGUCAAGAAGACCACUUCCAGAGUGCUUGGUAGAUCCUCCGUUAUGAGAGAUCCAGAAGAAGAGGAAGAGGAAGAGGAUGCUGCUCCAGCUCCUAAGGCUCAGAAGCUUAUGGGAGAUGCAAUCAAGUCAGGGGUUGCUUCAUCUAAGCUCAAAUCUGCUCCCAAGGCUGCUGCUCAGAAACCUCCAAAGCCCAAGAGGAACACCAGGAGUAUACCUGCUGAGGAGAAGAACAAGGCCCCAGUGCGUGAAGCUAAAGAAGAAGAAGCCAAUUCUCAUGUUUUGAGGAAGUUGAAGCCCAAAAUUCCUGACCACAAUGAUGCUCAUCCCGUCGCUGAGGACAUGCACAUCAGGAAAGAUGCAGGAUUGAGGUUAUGGAGACAGUCUAAUCCCUAUGCUGUUAGGAGGAGGACUGCAGUUGACUACAGGUUCCAUACAAAGGAACAACAAGAUUUCUACGAGACCAUUCUGCUUGACAAGAAGCCCAUAGUGUGUGACAUGAAAUGGGUGGACUGGGAGUUCAUCCGGGAAAAUGAAGAUCACUUUCCUGGAGUGUAUGACAGCUUUAAGGCUUGUGGAGUAGAUGAAUUUUUUGGACAAAAUCUCACCAAAUGGAAUGAUGAGUUGAUCAUGCAGUUCUACUCCACUGCCCACUUCUAUCCAAAUGGGAGGAUAGUUUGGAUGUCUGAAGGUACCAGGUACCAGUCCACAGUUGAUGAAUGGGACAAGCUAAUCAAUGCCCUAGAGGAACAUGAAGAUGACUUGGAUGUGUAUGCCACCAAGAAUAAAGACCACAACUCAAUGGCGAACAUGUACAAAGAGAUCCCUGAUAAGGCUUUGGAAACUCACAAGCUUGGAUCUGUGCAUUUCUUAUUGUCUGGUCUGCCUACCAUUAACUGGAUCUUAAGGCACACAUUGCUACCCAAGUCAGGGGAUCACAAGAUGAUCAGAGGACACUCCAUCAACAUGCUGCAAAAUUUUGAUGUUCCCCAGAAAUUCAAAGUUAUGAGCUUGAUUGUAGAAACGAUCAAAAGUACUGCUGCUGAUCAAAAGAGGAGUUGUGGGUAUGCUCCACAUAUUCAGGAGCUCAUCAACUCUAAGAUGGGCACAGGGACUUACUUGCUUGAUAAGGAGCAUCUACCUCUAUAUCCUAAGUUUGAAGACACCACUGUUGUGAUGAAUGAGGAGGAACCAUCAUCAGCUCAAGUUCAGGAGAAGAGAGCCAAGGAAAAGGCUGAGAAAGAUGCCCAGAUGCCAAGUGUUGAAGAGGCAUCUCGAGUCUUCUUAAAGAUCAAGCAAGAUCAGUUAGGCUAUCUGAUUCAAGCUACACUGAGGAUUGAGAAGGGCUUGGCCACCCUGACUCAGAAUUAGGAGAGCCUGGAGAGGAUUGUGGAAACAAAAUUCUAUGAUCUUGAUCUGAAGGUGACUGGGAUUCAGACUGCAGUUGAUCAACUUCAGGAGGAAGCAGAGGAGAGGAGAGGAAAAGCAACCACUUAUGCUUUUAAGCGUGUGCCACGAGGUCCAAGGUCUGCUGAAGUGCCGGUCUCAGAUGCUAGAGCUUCAGUGUCAGCACCAGCAGCUACAGCUCCAGUGCCACCUCCAGCACCCACUCCAUCAGCUCCAACUACAUCGUCGGAAGCCUUCGUCCUUGCAGUUCUAUCUACACCACCUCCCGAAGACCAAGCCUGAGAGACGUAUAUCACUAUGCAUUUUCAAACUUUUUGGUAACUUGUUGCCAAAGGGGGAGAAAUAUGUAUAGAUCAUAGGCUUCGAGAGAGAGUGUCUUGCUUUUUAUCUCUCUUGCUAUUUUGGUUGAACUACUUUAUUGUGUGCUUGUGUGAGAUACUUUAUGUCCUUGUGAGAUACUUAUAUGAUCAUGUGGUUGAUCAUAUGCUACCUUAAUGUUUGGUUGAAUGAUGCUGUCCUUUAUAUUCCAUAUAUGAUCAUUCACUUGCUUGGUGAUGAGUGCAUGCUUUUAAUUUCUAUCUUUUUGAGCGCUCCACCAAGAUGUAUGUGACAUGGAAGAGUAACCCAUGAUACUAAUCGAUUCUGCAUUUGCAUUAAAAAGAAAAUUUUAAAUAAUGCACAAAUUUAGGGGGAGCUCUUGCUUAUCACAUACUUCUCAAAGAGACAAUGUUUUUCAAUCUUAUAACCAUUUGUCAAAGCUUUGAUCUAUAUGUUGUCAUCAAUUACCAAAAAGGGGGAGAUUGAAAGUGCAACUAUCCCUGGGUGGUUUUGGUAAUUCUUAACAACAUAUAGCUCAUUGAGCUAAUGCUACUUGAAGAUAAAUAUUUCAGGAAAAGCUCAAUGAUUGGCAUGGCAUGGAUUAGAAAGUGUACCCCUCCAAAUGCUAAGGACAAAAAGGAUUGGCUCGAGCUCAAAGCACAAGACUGUACAUUUCAUUUUUAGUGAUCCAAGAUCAGAUUGAGUCCAUAGGAAAAGCCAAUACUAUUAAGAGGGGGUGAGGUGUUGCUUAAUGAGGUUCUUGCUCAAAAUUCUUAGUGAUAUGCUCCACAACCCUCAACCACUUUCUCAUAUCCAAAUAUAUCCCAAACCAAAAGUCAAAUCCGGCGCCACCGAGUUCACUUGACAUAGCCAUUGCCACAAACCCUAGUCUUUUUGGUCCUAUCGAUAGGGAUCUCGGUCUCACCGAGAUGGGAUUGUAAUCUCUCUAUUUCUCUUCGUAACGUUUCGGUCCAACCGAGAUGAGCGAUCGGUCCCACCGAGAUUGCAAUGCAAACUCUCUGUUUCCUUUUCGUGACGUUUCGGUCCUACCGAGAGAGCGAAUCGGUCCCACCGAGAUUGCCUGACCAACUCUCUGGUUAGUCUAUUACCAAAAUCGGUCUCACCGAGUUUGUGUAAUCGGUCUCACCGAUAUUACGUUAUGCCCUAACCCUAAUGAUAUCGGUCCCAUGGAAAACCCUAACGAUCAAAUUAUGAACUAAAUCGGUCUGACCGAGUUGUAUGAUUCAGUCCCACCGAGUUUGGUGAUUUGUGUGUAACGGUUAGAUUUUGUGUGGAGGCUAUAUAUACCCCUCCACCCACUCUUCAUUCGUGAAGAGAGCCAUCAGAACAUGCCUACACUUCCAACAUACAUUUUUUGAGAGAGAACCACCUACACUUGUGUUGAGGUCAAGAUACUUCAUUCCAACCACAGAAAUCUUGAUCUCUAGCCUUCCCCAAGUUGCUUUCCACUCAAAUCAUCUUUCCACCAAAUCCUAUCCUAUGAGAGAGUUGAGUGUUGGGGAGACUAUCAUUUAAAGCACAAGAGCAAGGAGUUCAUCAUAAACACACCAUUUGUUACCUCUUGGAGAGUGGUGUCUCCUAGAUUGGUUAGGUGUCACUUGGGAGCCUCCGUCAAGAUUGUGGAGUUGAACCAAGGAGUUUGUACGGGCAAGGAGAUCGCCUACUUCGUGAAGAUCUACCCUAGUGAGGCAAGUCCUUUGUGGGCGAUGGCCAUGGUGGGAUAGACAAGGUUGCUUCUUCGUGGACCCUUCGUGGGUGGAGCCCUCCGUGGACUCGCGCAACCGUUAUCCUUCGUGGGUUGAAGUCUCCAUCAACGUGGAUAUAUGAUAGCACCACCUAUCGGAACCACGCCAAAAAACUCCAUGUCUACAUUGUGUUUGCUCCCUCCAAACUCCUCCCUUUACCUUCAUAUGCAAUUGUUUUACAUUCUGCUGCUAUACUCUUAGAAUUGCAUGUGUAGGUUAUUUGCUUGACUUGUGCUAAGUUGCUAAAAUCUGCCAAGAAUUAAAAUUGGGAAGAGGCUAGAUUUUUAUUUGGUCAAGUAGUCUAAUCACCCCCCUCUAGACAUACUUUCGAUCCUACAGAUUUUCAUAUUGAGAAUCUUCAUGUCUAUAUAUAGAUUUCUACAGGAGUCAAUCCGAUGAAAAAUGAUAUGUGCACUGUGGACAUAUGCACCACAAACUCUAUACUCAUGGAAGUCCAAUGUUUCCACUCUCAUUGAGAGAAAGGAGAUAUUUUUAAAUCGCUAGACGCGAUGAGGUUUAACUCGUACCCUACUAAACUAUGGAGGUAUCCUUCAAAAUAGUUUCCAUAGCGAAACUUAUGAUGACAACAAAGAGAAAUCACUUCUCUUUACCAUAUGCAACGGAUAUGGCAAGCACAUUCUCUGUGUAUCAUCUGAAUUGUACUACACAUACAACAUAACCCGUAGCGCAUGUUGUGUACAAGAUAGUUUUCCAGAGUGUCUUGUACAUGACAAACUUGGCAUACUCGCCUUCGUCAUCGAGACAUUGGGUUGAAACCGAAACUAUCAGCAAUUCCAGUAGUUUAUGAUUAUUGUGAUGCUAAAUUCUAACCCAGUUUGGAUUUUAUGUGCACUACAAGUGACACAGGGAAGCUAAUUUGAAGGCUCGCACACCUUAAAAUCUACGCUGAACCACUCAAACUCCUUGAAUGCAUCAAGUUGAGGUAAGUGGCUCUUUCCAUCCAUUAACUAGACUAUUCAGGUAUUCCAUGGUUCUAAAAGACAUAUCUACAUGAUGGUCAUAACUGUGUACUUUAUUCACACGAAACCAUUGGCUCAUUAUCCUGACAUAGAUUUCAAGCAAAUCGAAUGGAUAGCAUUGCAGAAUUGUCCUUGAGUGCCUUCUCUAUGGCCAUUGGAUUGAAGUUUAGCAAUUUUUUCUAAUGUCUAGACUCAAAAUGGUUUGGUAGAAUCCUAUCCAAAGAGUUAAGUUCAUUGCAUUAUCUGUACUUUGGAAUUCCAACUUACCAACUUUACGUUGGAGUCAUCAAGUUUUACAUGCUCAUGACAGAACUGCAUAAUAUUAUUCCCCUCUAUUUUUGAUAUGUGGAUAUCUAGCAAGUAUUUCCUAUCUGCGGUAAUUCGGUUGCAUACCGAUAUCACCACCCCAGCAUACAUCAUUGGCUCCUCAACAUAUAGUUGGGAUCUAUGUGAGGAAUAAUUGUAUUUCCGUCAAUACCUUAAGCUCCUCGCAUGGGGAGUUAUUCAAGGCCAGUAUGCUGAUUCAACGAGGAACAUUUCUAGGCAUUAGGGGGAGAUUUCAAGUACCAUAAAGAAUGCCAGGAAAUUAGUGGAAUGUUCAACACAUUUCUGCCUCAAAUCCACUGUAGCGACCCGACCUCAGAUGGUCAAGUCUCUGUGCUUAAGUGUCAUCCCUGGAUCGGUAUGCUGACACACACAGUACUCGAGGGUUUAUAACAGAGGUAAAUCACAUGUAUAAAGUAACGUAAAUACUAUUACCUCAAUCCAAAUAGCGGAAGUAACAACAAGGUUGCGGAUUCCCAUCAACACCAACGGCAAAGUUGAGUGUAGAAAUCGUAACCCUAACGUAUCACUUACUCGUCGUAAGAUCCCUGCAACAUGAGACGUUGCAGCCAUGUAGGUCAGUACAUUGAAUGUACUGGCAAAUUCACACCAUAGGAUAAUGAUGAAUAAUAACUAUCACUACAUGCAUAUAUGGCUGGUGGAAAGCUCUAAGUUUAUUUUUGCAUAAAGCCAAUUUUUCCUACAACAAAGGAAUAUAUUUUAUUUAACUACAAAGUUUGUUGAAAUUAUUGAGAAGGUUCCUCCAACUCAAUCCCAAAAUAAUAAUUAUAACCCAACAAAUUAGUUAAAUAAAGUGAUGAGAUCAAACCAAUAAUUCAAUACAAGAUACUCAAGAUAUCCAUAACCGGGGACACGGCUAACCAUGAUUAGUUUGUACACUCUGCAGAGGUUUGCGCACUUUUCCCCACAAGACUCGAUCUCCUCCGUUGGAUUUCUCGCACUACAUGGUGUUUGAGAAACGGAUGACCAAGACAGUUUUUUAGAAGCAUUAACUCUAACCCCGGGUAGACUGUACCAACCUACAUCCCCUACAUCUGCUAGCCUACCACUGGAAGAGGUCAUGCAACUUACUCCACUAUGCUAGAGCCCAUAAUAGCUUGUGGCUGCACACAGAAGUUUCUAGCAUGAAUAAUCUUAUGAUCCCUUUGAGCCUGGGUGGCAUUCUAUAGGAUGAUCACACGGGUACUCCGGAAUCCCCUUGGGAAAGCACUGGGUUCUCCAGGUGCCCCAAUCAAUCCACCCAGAUGUGUAUUAAAGUAGCCACCUUAAGUUAAACCUUAAUUAACAAUCUCACAUCUGUCAUGGAUACACUCAAACCCAAUCCACGUCUACGAGCAUAGCAUGGCAAUAAGCAUAACGUAGUAACUCCGAGGGUUUGAAUGCAAGACAAUAGGUUCCUACCUCAUCAAUUACUUCCCAAUACCCACAUGUUAUCAAUCCUACUCGUGCAAUGUUUGAGGCUGAAACUAAUGCAUAAAAACUGGGUAUGAAAGGGAUAUGAUCAAACUGUGAACUUGCCUUGUACUGUUGAUCAAGAUAAUUCGCACUCAUAACUCCUGAUAGUUCUACUCGUCACACUUCGUUCAAUCUAUCGUGAGCAAACAAUAAUAACCACACAUAAGCAAUCACUCAAAAGAUUGGAAAGAACGAAGAAAACAAUUCGGAAAACAUCAAAACCAAGCAAAUAACUCUUGCAACAAAAAACAAUUUCUAACAGUACCAAAAUUAAGUGAAUUUGGCCUUAUCAAAAAGUUUAGGUCAAGAAUUUCGAUUUGCAAAAGGAAUCAACUAAAUCGAAGUUACAAAACUCAAGUUAUGAUCAAAAAAAGUUUGAAUAUGAAUCUGAACAAAUUUUGAAAUUUAAAAAUUUCAAAAAGUUGAUGUGACAGGUUCACUGGAUGGGUGAAAACAAUACAAAACUAUAGGCGCUGGUUUCAUCUAAUUUGAAUGAACGAGUAAAAAGUUAUGGCUAUUUAAAAAAUUAGGGCCAAGAUGUUUUACGAAAGAAAAAUAGGUACGGCUAAACUACGGGAGUAUAAAAAAAACAAAGAAAGGUAUCUUUAUAAGGUAGAGAAAAAACAACUUCGGAAAGAGAAGACAAUUUUCAGAAGUCCCGUCGAAGAAGAGAAAAUUAUUAUUUUUAAUGAAUCUAGUCAAACCAAAAUAUUGAUUUAACCUGAAUCGGAUUAUUUUUGAAGUUUUUAUGGGUCUAUAUUUAUAGGUGAAAAAGAGGCUUAGGGGUCAAAGACUAGACAAUGUGGGACUAAACAUAGAUGAACAAAUAAAAUGAACGAGGAACCGCAUGGCUAAAAUCAACACCGGCCGGCCGCGCACUGCAGUUUUUUUUUGAAAUUUUUUUCUUUUAAGAAAAAAAGUAAAAAUAUAUCUGAAAAUAUUUUUUUUUCUCCAAGCAUAGCCGAAAAAUAAAUAAAAACAGUUAUGGGCCUGUCUGCUGACUAUGUUACACAUGUGGGCGACGGAUAGUUAUAGGCCGCACACGCAGUUUGUUUCUUUAACAAUUUUUAAAGAAAAUAAUAUAAACCAACUAAAGUAAAAAAAUACUAUAGGCAUAUAAUAUAUCGGAAUUUUCAUAAAAAGAUUUUCCACAACUUGAACAUUAUUCUAGCAUCAAAUAAGAUCUACAAAAGUUUAAAUAAAGCAAAGAGUGCUACAGCUAUAAUAAAACCUAGUAAAAAUCAUUUUAAAAAUAUCAAACUAAAUUCAAAUUUAUUUCUCCAAUUUUCUAAUGUAGGAAAUCAUUUUACCCUAUUUUUCAUAUAUUUUAUUUUUGGAGAAAAAUAAUUUGAAUAAAACCAAAUAACUCCAAAUUGAAAAUACUUUCAAAGGAACCUUGAAUUUGAUUCUUUUAAACUUCCAACUCAUAUUUCAUAUGUUUUUGAAGAAGUCAUUUUAUCUUCUCUCAUGAAAAUCAUUGAGUUGCUUGAAGUUUCUGAAUUUGAAAUAUUUCCAAAUGAAAUUCAAAUCUUUUCAAAAACCCUUUUCAUUUAGUUAAAUGGAAGAAGUCAUGUCAUCUUCUCUCUAGGGUUUUGUAUUUUGAAAAGAAUUUGAAUUCACGGAGAUCAUAAAUGCAAAAAGUUUGGAAAAGUCCUUUUAUUCCCUCUCAUUUAACUUUCGAAAAGUUUUAAUUUCACUCACUUUCAGUCAAUCAAUCACACAACAAUCAAACAAACAAUCGAAACUAUCUAUUUAUUAUAACAUUCCAAAAUUUAGAAUUUUGGGAUGUUACAUCCACGUACUCAAAGAUUUGAACCAUGCGUUCAGAAGAUUUACAACACAUUGCAAAUAAUCUGCCAGAUUCAUUUACUGACUAUAAAGGUGUCACACAAUCCUACAAUCCUGUAAAAGUACGACUGAAAGAGUGGAGGUACCAAAAAAAUCCACUCCACUCCCCGUUCAAAGCAAUAGGGGGAGAUGUAUGGCAGAAGUACAUCAGGAUUCAACUUCUUGCAAGCAAGGAUGUCAAGGCCUAUGAAUCAGUAAAUACAAGUCAACUUCACGUUGACAGAAACCUAAUGGGUAGUAUACACCUAGUGCACGGGAAACCUCCACCAACCCAGGUCAUAGUGCACACAAUGACCGGGACAUCGGAAUACCCGACUCAAUCGCAUUGGGAAAUCGCGAGCAGUCACUAUGGGUAUCGAUAUUUCCAUCAACUAUAUAUUGAUAUAUAGAUUCUGGAGAAUCAUAUAACCGGAAAUCUACAGUUGUCGACAUACAUUUCUCAACUAGAUUGCAAAACCUUUCAGAUGAUUCAGAUCCAAAGACCAUGGCCAUGGCAAAGUGUGAACAACACUCGGACUGAACUCAAGGAAAGAGUAUAAUUUAGGUAGAAAUGAUCUUGCUCAAUAAUGGGAAGGUAUUCAUAAGCAAUACCUACACCAGUUUUCUUCUGGAAACAUCACUGAGAACAGUGAGGUGGUGAAACAAAGAGCAAGCAUUAUAGCACAAGGGUUCACGCAGAUACCCAAUUAUUCUCCAGAGGUGGAAUCUCUUUCCGAUAACUUAUAUCAUUGGCAGUACAAAAUCAUCUACCUCUGCAGUUGAUAGAUGUAGUGAUCACAUAUCCAUGUGGAUCACUAGAUUCAGACAUAUAUGGUUGAUUCCCGAUGGAUUCUCACUUCUGAAUCGAAAUGCAAUACGCAACAUACAUUGUGUAAAAUCAAUAAGUCACCAUAUGGCUUAUUAUUGUCGAUACAUUUGGUAUAACCGACAUAGUGAGUUCCUUAUACACAAGGAUUACUCCUACAAUGAUGAUUAUCCAUGUUAGUGUGUCUGCAAUGACGACACAUGUAAUCAUCUAACUGAUGGAGUUUAAAAUAAAGGAUUUGGGUAAACCAAAACAUCGCUCGUUACUACAAAUUGAGCACCUUCAUUCAUACAUUAUGGUAUAUUAUGUUGUCUAUAUCCAUAAUAUAUUGGAGAAAUUCAUUAUGGACAAAUUUUAUCCAUCCAUAACUCUCAUGGUAGUUCAUUCUCUAGAUAUAGAGAAAGGUCUAUUUAGACCAAGAGAUGAUGGAAAUGAGAUACUGGGACUCAACGUUCCAUAAUAUCAUUGGAUCCACCAAACACAAUUGAUUGGUACUUAAGAAUAUCUUUCAAUAUCUCCAAGGCAUUAAACAUCUUGUCCUGGUUUUUCAGUUUCAUAGAAAUGCGAACACCGAUAUCAUUGGAUACAUCGAUCAAAUCCCCACUAUGUGAGAUCGUAGACAAGCUUAGUGUUCCUACUAGGUGUGAUAGCCCUCUCAUGAAGAGUCUUCGAAACAGACCUCAUGGCUACAUCGACCAACCAUUAUCUCAACGAUAAUGUUUCUUGUGUUGCCCGGAUGCAAACAGAUUACAUAAUAAGCAAUAUAACUAUAUUGCAUAUCUUGCAAGUCAAAUCAUGUGACUGAUUUAUUCACCAGGUCUCUACCAACUUCUAUCUUCUAUAAAUGUGCUCAUGGAAUUGGUAUAUAACGGCUUCGGAAUACGCAAGAAUCAGGGGGAGUAUCUUCCUAAAUUGUUCCUGUUGAAAGCAUCAUAUAUACUCUUUUUCCCUUCAUGAGUUUACUUUCUAGGUUCUCAUAAAGGUUUUUAAUGAGGUAAUAUCAACACAAGACCAUAUGUCAUAUUUUCUGUUUUCCCCACCGGGGUUUCUAAGAAAGUAUAUGUGACAUAUUUAUUGUCCUCUAAACUCUAUGAGUUUUCUCAUAUGGAGUUAAAAGAGACUAACCAUUAUAUGUUGCAUCAUUUUCUCCUUAUUUUUCCCACUGGAUUUGAAGGAGUUUUAGCAAUAUAUUACACUACCCCUCAUAUUUUCGCCAUAAGGUUUUUGGAGGAGACUCUUUUGAGUUAAUGAUACUACAUGGACAAGCAGAGAUUAGGGGGAGUGUUAGAAUUAAACACAUGUUUAAUUAGAAGGGAAUCUCCCCUUGUUAACUGCUACGGUUUCCUGAUGGCAACCGACGCAGCCUCUCCCUUGGCGUCCUUUGCCCCGACGCUCUCGCGUCCCUUUGUAUCAUCGCGUCCCUACGGGAUGUAUAUAUUGUAACAAAUCCUAUCAAUGAGAACAACUAUUCUACUAUUUGUCAUUUGCCUCUUGCAAUUACUCCGAACAAUGUGCAUCGGCUGCGUAGCGGUUGGAGAUGGAAAGAUCCCCACACCUAAAGUUUUGAUUUUUUUUUUGCAAUGUGCAAAAUCGCCCUAGUGGGGAGAGGGGCCGAUUAGGGCAUCUCCAACAGGUUGUAUGUUAGUCUUGUUGGUAAAAUGUCCAUGUCAUCAACCAACAAGCUAUCAUACAACUACUCCAAUAGGUUGUAUGUAAGUUAUCCAAUAGAUGGUGAGAAAAUAAAUGUGAUUGCUCUCUAUUUCACCUUGGACCUUGUGCAUAUGUUGUUGGUUAAUCUACAUACAAUUUUGCUCUCUCUCUCCAUAUUUAUUACAUGCCACAUCAUCACUAUAUCCUAGGUGGCAAAUUUACCAACACACGUAUCUUACAACUGUUGGAGAUGCCCUUACUGGGAGCUCCACUCCUGACAUUUUAGGGGAUGGGUUGGUGUAACUCUCAAGGCUGUAUUUUUUUUGCAGACAAGUGUUUUUUUUGGAUGAUUUAAAGAUGCGCUUAGGACACCCAGACCGUGAGCUAAAAUGAGAUGAAAGACAAUAGGAAUCAAAGAACACAAGCUAGAUAUAUUUAUGCAUGCAGACAUGACAGAGUUACUUGAUUCCCAUCAGAUUACUUGAUUUCCCAACAGACAACUUGGUUCAGGAAUUCAACAGAUUACUUAGUUCAGGAAUUGGAAGUCUUUAAGCAAAAGGUGAGACGCUCAACGACAGGUAGCUCAAAAGGUGAAAAGUUCAACGACAACUCGACUAGAGACCAGAUCCAGCACUCCGGCCUCUCCUUGCAAGUCUGCAACACUCGAGCAGUUACUCAG
rnacentral:lncRNA from 1 species